UCUUUUUCUUUCUCUUCGAUCUCAUCACCUAAGGGUGCUCAAACAACUGAUUCAGUUAAUACCCGAACAAAGCUAUCAUUAAAUGAAAUUUUGAAACCCUUAAUCAUUAAUGAAACCAAUUUUUUGUUGAAACCUAUUAACCGGCCGGAUUGAUUUCGGUUAAUUUGUGCAGUUAACCAGAAUUUAUACAUUGUUUGUUUUUUAUCAAACAAUUUUAAAACAAAGAACAAUCCAUGACAACUUUUUCCUUGUUUUUUAUUCAAAAAUUAUUAAAAGAACUAAAAAAAAUAACAUAAUAACAACACUAAAUUAAAAACAUAAUAGCAUUCAUUACAGUACAAAUCUUUUUUCUUUUUUUUCUUUUUGUUGACUUUUUAGUUUAAUUUUAGUUUUUUUUCAAAUAUUUUAGUUUUCAUAUUCUUGUUAAGCUUAUUAUAAGAAAACUUAUAAAUCCAUUAGUUUUUAUAUAUUAGGUUUGUAUAAUGUAUUGGAGCUAUCUCUAUAAUAUAUUUUUAUUGAUUUCGGUUAAUCAAUUAAUUCGGUUAAUUAGUCGAUUUCAAACGAAACUAAUUGAUAAACAAAAUCUUCAAAAACAUUUAACCAACUCCCAACCAAAUUAGAUUCGUUGAUCGCCUGCUUAAUCAAGUUAAUCAUAUGGUAAAAUGGCAUAGUUUUGGAAUGGUUUUUUGGAAUUAUUGGUAUAGGUUUAAGUUAUGAUCUUGAGAUGUUGAGUUGAAUUAAGUUUGAUAUGUAUAUUGUGAUGCCUUCAUUGGCAUAUUGGUUAGAUAUUAAAGGAUGGUUGAUUUGGUAUGUUUUUAAAAUGGUUGUUGGUAUGUGUGAUCUAAAUUGAUUAAAUGAACUUGUAAUGUUGAAUGGUAUAAUAUUUGUUGGUACAUUAGUUAGUCUUAUAGGUUGAUGGAAUUGGUAUGUUUUAAAUGUGUUUAAAAUGUGUUUUGAUUGUUUAAAUGUUUGUGGAAAUGGUGUGUCUUGGUGUACAAGAUUUGAAAUUGAAAUGGCUUGAUUUAGAAGCAACUUAUGUUGUACACCACCUGGGACACUGGUUGUCACAUGGUUGUGUGUCAUUAUUGUUUUAGGUACAGGUUUCACACAAUCUGAGACUCGGCUCACGACAUAGCUGUGUAUCACAAGUCAGUAUGUAACACGGUUUGGUACAUGGCCUGCGACAUGACCGUGUGUCCAAACUUCGAAUGUCCACACGGUCUGGGCUAUGUCACACGGGUUGGCCACAUGGCCGUGUGACCCUUGUUUUCAAGUUUUCUAAAAUUUUCUAUUUUAUUUCAAAUUGAUCCUAGAAUAUUCUCAAACUGUUUUUAGGGCCCGUAGGUUCGAAUUAAGGCCCAUAAGUGUAUGUUUGCUAUAAUUAAGUUGUGUUAAUUAAUGUUAUUAAUUAAAUGGCAUGAAUAUUUUAUUGUAAGUUAAAUGUUUUAAUUUGAACUAUAAUGCUCCGUAACUCUAAUCUGGCGACGGAGACAGGUUUGGGGUGUUACAAUUUUGGACUUGAAAUUUGUUUUGGGGCUUUGUUCGAUGUUUGUUGGAUUUUAGUGUUUUAACAUUAAACUACAAAAUUGUAUGAUUUAACAAACUAAAAAUUAGGUUUUCAAAAUUAAAACUCUGGAAGUUUCUGUUUCAAAGAUUAAGUAAUCACUUAAGUGUUUUCCCAUAAAUAAUUAAAUGGUUUUUAACAAAUGUUUUCCUUAGUUUUGGAAAUGAUAUGCCAACAUUAGUACUUUUAAAACACAUGAUUUCAAAUUCAAAUUCUUGGUUUUAAGUAAGGGUUUUCAAACUUUGAUUUUUUUUAACAUUUGUGAGAGGUUUUUGCCAAAUUUUAUGUUUUCAGAACGUGUAACUAAGUUGAUUUUUAAUUAGUUUUUCAAACAAGUCAAUGUAAUUCCUCAAAAAUCCAAUCAUAGCGUCUAGGUCGGGUUUGGGUUGUUACACUGACGUUACUAAAGUUAAUCUUAAUCUAUUUAGUCUAGAUCUAAACAUUAAUAUUCUCUUCCAAGAAAAAUCAAGAUUAUCAAAUUAUUACAACUUGGUAGGCAGACAAUCAUAUUAAAUAUGCAUAAAAGUUAAUAAAUAAUUAGCGAAGAUUGAAACAAUCAAAUAAAAAAUAAAUUAAUUAACUAAGAAAUAAGUUCCAUUAUUGUUUCAUGAAAAUAGAGUUUAGUUCAUAUUGAGUUGAGAAAACCAAAAGCGAGAUUCAAAACAAACCUGUGAUAAGGGGAACAAUGUCAAUAGAUUAUAUUCAUGUUGUUUGACUCAAGAAAGAAAUAUUCGAAUCUAACUUGAAAAGAAGAAACCAAAUAGAUUUAGAAAAAUAAGAAAAAAAAACAAAGAAAAUAACUAAAAUGAGAAAUUUAAGAAUAAAUAAUAAAUAUUAAAAAUAAUAAAGAAAUAAAGAAAUUAUAGAAUAAAUAAUGGAAGAUGGAAAUGAAACGACGGAUAUGACAUAUAGAUGGAUAAGUGUCUGAUAAUUCUUGAAAAGAGUUAUAUUUCAUACCUUUAGACCUCACUAAUUGCUUGUACUUAAGUACAUUUUGUUGCAUAUUGAGACAUUUUUGUUCGUAUUUGUAAUAUUGCAUUAGGACUUAGAUUGUGUUAGAAUUAGGUGUUUUUGAUCACUUGUGGUGGAGUUUUUAGUGUGUUGGUAUGGUAGGAACAAUAUUUAGAACGAGGAAAUAAAUGAGUGAAGUUUAGUCAGCGCAAAAGUGCAGAUAGUUUGCCAACACGUAUGCCGUGGCAAUGUCGGGAAGACCAAGUCAACAAAUUUUUGCGCAACAGUCCUAGUUCAAAUUCAAACUUGUACUAGAUAAAUCUCCUUAAAAGAGGAAAAGAUAAUCACAAGUUGUUAACCGACCCUAGCCUAAUCUAUCUAUAAAAGCCAAUGAAGGGGAUCUCACAAAUGGCAGAAAAAAGUGGAAGAGAUCCUUAGGUGCGAAUAAUGGUUCAGCUGCGCAAAGGAAAGGAAGUUGAAGGCAAUCUUUUUUAGCCAUCACAAGACGUUGUGCUGUCGAAGUGUGGACUAGACAAGUGAAAGUUGUUUCCCAAAGUUCUUUCGUUAUUUCCGUCAGUGUUCCUUCAAAAUAUUAAAGUAGUUGAACAUAAUGUUGGAUAAUAUUUUGGUUUGGAAUUUUAAUUCCUAGCCCAUGAGCUAAAUCUCGUAGGGUUGGAAUUACUUUUGAUAAAACCUUAAACUAUUUUUAUGGAUGCAGUAUAUAUGUAAUUUACUUUACUGUUUCAUUUUAUUAUUCUUAUUUCUUAAUUAAAAUGCAAAUGAUCUCUAGACAUUGAAGCCUUUCACAUACUUAUAAACUGAUUUUAAUUCUGAAAGGGUUGGAUUGGUUGGAUUAAAAUUAAAUGAAAUGAGCAAGCAUUCGGUGGACACCUGUAGUAGACUUUAGACAUAGAGUCACGCUCAUACAGAAGGAACCCAUGCAAGAUAUCUAAAAAGCCUUUAGACAUAGGCAAGGUAACUUAAGGUUUUGCUCUCACGAGAGGCAGGCCAUUUUAGUACUCUUUUGUGCUUUAAAGUAGAUACGAUUUUGCCAAGGCAUUAUUGACAGUAAAGGUCGAUUAUGGGUAGUCCCAACCCUCCAAAUCCACAUCGUAUAUCCUUUACUCUUUGCCAUAGUAUAUUUGCCACAUCAUUAUAAGUUAUUUAUUUGUUCAUUUACAUAAUAUUUCCGUUGUAAUUCUCAUAAUUAUCAUUACUUUCUACUCUCGAUUUGCCACAACAUUACUAGUUAUUUAUUAAUUCCACGUAUGGCUUACAUCAUUGCUCUACUAAUUGCCACUGUAUAUUUACCAUUGACUUCGCCAUAGCAUUAAUCAUAUUUUAUUAUAAUAACUUGACCAAUUUUGUGCCUCAAUUCGAUCCUCAUGGAAAUGAUACUCACUCAUCACUUUAUUUGUAACACCCCAAACUCGGCCUAGACGUUAUGGCCGAAUCUGGUGAUGUCACAUGGAGAGGGAUUUGAAGACAAGAUUGUUGAGUUUAAAAACCGUUACAGUAAGUUAGCUUUUAUUUAGGGAAAAUCGUGUUUUGUAGAGUUGUAGUUUUUAGGAAAAAAAUCGUGUUUUGUAGAGUUGUAGUUUUUUUAAAAAACCCAAUAAAAAAUAGUAUAAAGUCCCAAAUUUAAAACCAAUCAGUCCAUAGUCCAGAAGAUACAUCAAAAACUCAAAAUAAGUAAUAAAUUCUAGGCAUUAACGGAAAACAAUCUAAAAUUUACGUGUGGCCACCAUUGAGUCCUCUGCUGCACCGAUUCGUCAAGUCUGAGGAUUACCUAUACAAAUUAAAUAGAGAAAGGGUGAGUUGUCGCAAACUUAGUGUGUAAUCCCCACAGAAAACAUGCAUAGAGAUAAUUAACAAAAUUUAGUUAGAUACAGUCUAGGGCCUGUGCCCAUCAUAGAAUCAGUUUGGGCCUUAGCCCAUUCAGAUAUAGUCUUAGAAAUACAUUAGGGCAUUGACCAGCCUCUACAAACCACCUCCAUCCAACCAUACACACCAUGUGGGGAUUAAAUCAACCAACCCAUCCCUACACACCAUGCUGUACCGAAAUGCGGCACAUAAUUAGAAGGUUGCAGCUGGGCUGCCAGAUAACAUAAGUCAUGCUCGGUAUAGAAAUCAGACAGACAGAUCACACAUAUAGGUGUCUAAGUAAAGCUUACUGACCCUACAGUAGGUCCACAGUUAACUUGGGCGACCCGUGCAAAAUUACAGAACUUUUUAGAAAAAUGGGCUUACACGCCUAUGUGGCCCACUCGGCCCAAAUUGGCCUUGACCACGUGAUCCAUUUUUAAUGUAACCAGUGCUAGUUAAUUAUUCAUAUAUGUUUUCACUAUUUACUUAUAUGUUAAUUUAAAGCUGUCUACUUGAGUCACUGUUACUAAAUUAUUUAUAUCUUGAGCUACAGAAUUUCAAAUUAAGAUCCGCUUAAUGUCUUUGAAACUAGACUCAAAUAUCUUUCUACUAUAAAAUUUUUAUAAUUUUUGGUUGAGCCAACAAGUACAGUAAAAUCUUCAAACCUUCCCCUAUUCUGCUGUCUGACAACUUCAACCCUUCUUUGCUAAGAAUUAAUUAUCUCUUAGUACAAGAUUUGGAUGAUGUUUACAUUUGUUUCUAUUGAAAAUAAACUCAUUAAUAAUUUAAAAAUGUAAAUUUUAAACCCCUAAUUAUUUUUCUCCAAUUUUUGAUGAUUUUCCAAAUUUAGAACAGGGGAACCUUAAUUCUUUCUGACCUUGUCUCACGAAGUUUAUUAUACCUCACAAUUUACAAUUCCAUUACUUACAUCGUUUAAGAUUUAAUUCCAUAUUUUUUUCAUCCUCUAAUUCAAUUUCCACAAUUUAUGGCAAUUUUUCAAAGUUAACCUACUGUUGUUGUCCAAACAGCAAGCAAUUUUGGCUUUUCGCCGAAUCCUUUUUUUUGCAUUUCGGGUACACACCUGGUUUUGUUUGAUGCUAAAACAAUCCCCGAACACUCUAAAGUCACCAAUGAUAACCAUCCAUUUAAAUAUUGUUAACACGAGAACACUGAAUUCACUAGUCCGAGUCUCCCCCUACGCCCAAAUCGCAGAGAAAAUACGUUACCACUUUAGUCGCUAAAAGAUUCAUGAUAGAAAAGAAGAGAAACACUUACCGAACUAAGCGAGCACUAACCGUGUGUGAAAAUGAAGGAAAAUAAAUGGAUUAGGGAAAAAUCAAGAACAAGAAAAAGAAGAAAAAGAAAAACUCAGAGAAUUUCAACAAGAGGAGAGGGAGAAGAAUAGACGGCGAAUAAAAUUCUGAUAACCCCCAAAAUCCCUUAAUCUUCUCCCCUAAUUCCCACUACACAUCCACUAUUCAUAACCCCCUAUUACAUAACUCUAUCCGAAAUCUGAUAAAAAAAAACAUAAUACCCUUGCCUGCAUAGGGGUUCAAACACAAAACCUCUACUAUAAUAACACAUCAUUUAACCACCAGACCAGCAGGCCCAUUCUGAUGUAAUUUACCCAAAAAUCAAAUAAAAGCCUACUCAACAAGAGUAAAGCCUAAUUCAUUCAAAAUACCAAAAUUUGCCCAAGCAAAAGCUUGAACUUGGGACCUCCCAAACACUCCCAGAACACAUAACUACUAAAGCUGACAAAUAUUUGUGUCAUAUUUUCACAAUAAUGAAAUUAGAAAUUUUGGGACAUUACAUUAUUACUUGAUUCAACUCUUGCACAAAUCGCAUAUCAUUUCACACACAACAGUGCUCAAUUGAACCCUUUAAGAUAUGAAAUCUAACAAACUCAAUUAAUGGCUUUAAUCAAUCCACCAAGAAAUAAUCAUUGGCAAAUUGAAGGAUGAAGAAUGAAUUCCCAUGACUCCUUAAAAAAAUUGAUAAGAAAACUACUUUUAAAAAUCACAAGAAACAAAUCUUGCAUAAAGAAACUAACUCUCAGAGUUGGUAAUUUUAGUAAUAAACAAAAACAAUUGCGUCUCUAAUGAACAUGAAGGGGCCUUUACAUAGGCUAGAUAAGUACAUCCAAAUAAAAUUGUCAAAUAUCUUGAAACUUUAAUUAAUGUAAGCAAGAAGUAAUUUUAAACUAAAAUAGUCAUAAUUUUCGUAAUAAUCCCGUCUAAAAAUUCUGCUCACAUAGUCAUCAUUAAAACAAUCAUAAUUUGAGCUCUUGAACUCAAAAUUGAGUGAAUAAAAGUGCGUUUCGAAGUUAAGUGAUAGAUCCUAGAACUCUAUGAAGACAUAUCAAUCAAAAAAAUAUCUGGAUCCCAUCCAAAAAGUCACCGCAAGUUAACUAAUUUUUCAAACUUAAAAUUUGGCAGCUUCGGUGAAUGGAAUUUAAUAAAGUUCACUCCAUCCAUUCAUGUAUCAACUUGCAUUGGUAACAAGUAAAAGAAAAAAAUCUAUAGAGAAAAUAGUUGAAGAAUUUAUGACAAUUUAUUCAAAUCUCUUUUUCUUCUAGUCUUUGCAAGCUUGAAGUUUCCCUUGGUGUGAGAGAGUUGUUCCUUACCCUCUAAGUGAUUUUUUUCUUUUUCUUUCUCUUCGAUCUCGUCACCUAUUGGUGUUCAAACAAUUGAUUCAGUUAAUACCCGAACAAAACUAUCAUUAACUGAAAUUUUGAAACCCUUAAUCGUUAAUCAAACCAAUUUUUUUAAAAAAAACCUAUUAACUAGCUGGAUUGAUUUCGAUUAAUUUUAGCGGUUAACCAGAAUUUAUACAUGGUUUUUUUUUGUUCAAAAAAUUUUAAAACAAAGAACAAUCCAUGACAAUUUUUUCCUUGUUUUUUAUUGAAAAAAUUAAAAGAACUAAAAAAAUAACAUAAUAACAACAAUAAAUUAAAAACAUAAUAGCAUUCAUUACAUUACAAGGCAUAUAUAUAUAUUUUUACUUUUUCUUCACUUUUUAGUUUAAUUUUAUAUUUUUUAAAAUAUUUUUAGUUUUCAUAUUUUUGUUAAGCUUAUUAUAAGAAAACUUAUAAAUCCAUUAAUUUUUCUAUAUUGGUUUUGUAUAAUGUAUUGGACUUAUCUCUAAUAUAUUUGGCCUAUAAUAUAUUUUUAUUGAUUUCGGUUAAUCAAUUAAUUCGGUUAAUUAGUCGAUUUCAAACUAAACUAAUUGGUAAACAAAAUCUUCAAAAACCUUUAACCAACUCCCAACCAAAUUAGAUUUGAUUGCUUAAUCAAAUUAAUUAGGUUUGAUAAAUUAAUUCGUUAAAACCAAAAAAUCCACACCCCUAUCAUCACCUUUAUUUUUAGGGAUUUUAAUCAUGUUGCUGCACCUGAUGCAGAAGUUGAGGUGGAACGAACUGCUUGCUACCACAAUUUAUGAAUUAUAGAGCAUGCUCCACCGUAGUGAAUCAAAUUCGGUGGAGUAGAAGACUUUUCUUCACUACUUUAUGCUCUAUGCUCCAAGUCUUCUAUUCUUCUUCUGAGACCUACAAUGGGAAAAUAAAAACUAAGAAACAAGUCUAAACUAACUUUGAAAAUUAGAAAUUUUCAACAAAAUUGAAAUAAAAUAUAAUUAAUCCAUAAAAAACUAUAAAAUGCAAUAAAAACAAACCUAAAUACUAAAAUUACCUCCUAAAAUGCUGUGGAAACUAUACUAAAAUAACUCUAAAUAUGAUAGUUAUCAGAAGCGACUUGAAUAAGCCAAUCGAGUAGAUGAUUUCAACUAUUGCAAAUAGCAUCAGUCGAUUAACCAUCCUCUUGAGAAGAUCAUAGAGUUGAAAGAAAAAAUCAUACAACUCCAUGAAGAAGAAAAAAUCAUGUUUGAAAAAGAAGUGGCAUUAUCAAACUUGACAUCAAUGCUUUGGUUUCUCAAUACAAUAUUAAGGAGAAAUUCAUCAAAUUUGGCUCUUUCACUCCUAUUACACUAGCUCUAAGUAGAAGUAAGAUGGUGAAUUUCGAAGGGAUUGGGGACAAUCAUCUAUUUUUGGAAUAUCAGAAUGGUCAUGAUUGGACUCAAAGAAGCCAAUGAAAUGCAUCUCUCCUAGGUAUAAGCUUAUAUUGUCACAUUGCUCCUAAGCACGAGCAUAAAUUGUUCAUCCAAAAUGAUGAUGCUCCUAAGCAUGAGCUUAAACUGUUCAUCUAAUGCUCCUAAGAAGGAGCCUAAACUAUUCAUAAAAAAUAAAUGAUGAUCCAGUGAAGCACGAGAUUAAACUAUUCAUACGAAAUAAAUGAUUACCUCCUAAGCAUGAAUUUAAAUUGUUCAUACAUAAUAAAUGAUGAUACUCCUAAGCAUGAGCUUAAAUAGCAGUCCAAAAAAAAUUGAACAACAUUAUAACUUUAUCUUUUAAAAAUGAAGGUACGUAGAUAGCCUGGUUUCAUUGCCAAGUUCAGUCAGUGAAACAAAUUCUUGAAAGUAGGAAGCAAAUAAAAUUUCAAGACUUGUACCCUUUCUACGCCCAACAAAAUUCAGAAUUCAGCAUUUGUUAUUACUGUUUAUCUCUAACUAAAUUAAUGAAAAGAUAAAUCAAGAAAUUAAAUCCUUUUAGAACUGUCUUAUAAAGAAACCAUAUUCUUUAAGGAUUACUUUAUCUAUAAUUAAUUAAAUUAAUAAGAUAUGAAUAAUAAUAAUAGAGUUUAAAUUCUUAUAGAACACUCAAAUGAAAAAGCUAAAUUCUACAACAACUCUCUUAUAUCAAAGUGAUUGGGCACUAUAAAAAUGGGUCACCUCCAAGUCAUUCUACACAUUCACAAGUUCAAGAAGUUCAAAAAUUCUUUACGAAAAUAUGAAGAAACUAAAGAAGUAGAAGAAAUUCUGAUGAACAUCAUAUCAGUUCUAAAGAAAAACUGCCUCCUAUCCAAUUCAAUUGAGAGGAGGAUGUCAACAGAAGAGAAGAAUCGAAGAAGUUUUGUUUGUAAAUAAAUUCAAAACUAUACACUCUUCGAAAUAAUAAAUAAAAUUUGACGCAAAAUUUUCAAGUCAAUUCUCAACUUAAAAUUUGCGUGUACAAUAUAUAUAGGAAAGAAUCCAUUUACAUUAUAUAAAACUAGUGUAUGUAUAAUACAGAAAUAUUUAGUACAUUAUCAAUAAAGUUUUUAAACUAUGCACUGUGAUUAAAACCAAAAUAAUAAUAAUAAUAACAACCAAUCACUUUAUUUGACUAACUUUUCCCUACAAGUCUUUAGUAUGGAGACAAAUCAGUUUAAUCAGCCUUUGGAGCUAUUAACUGACAUUUCCACCAUUGAUUUGAAAAUCCUAACCCAUCAAUUCACUUUAAAUGAAACGAGAUCCACUAGUGUUUGGUGUUAUAUUUUUAAAAUGUAUUUAGAUUAUUGUUUAUUAAUUUUAUUUGUUUAUAUUUAAAUCAAAUGUAAUAAAUUGUUGAAUUUAUAUACUUCAUAUUAUAACAAUAUAUUUUAACUUGCUACUUCUCUUUUUAAUUUAAUUUUUUGUAACUCUUCACAAUUUAUUUUGAAAAAAAUUGAAAAAACUAAAUGAUUAAAUUAAGGCUCAACUUUUCACUAACCUUAGUUUAUUUAGUCUAACUUUUCACAAAUUAAUAUACUCAUUUCAUGUUUCAUACCAACAACUUUUCUUUUUGGUAAAAAGAAAAAACAACUAUACGUUUUUUUUAAUCCCAAAAUUAAGGCUUUAUGAAUGAAAAUAAUAUUAUAUUAACUAUGAUAAUUAAGUCUUUAUUUUUAAUAUGAUUAAUAUUAUAUAUAAUAACUUUAAAUAUGCUUCCACUAAUCAGAUAUACUAAAGGAAAGAGUAACUUUCUUUUUAUGGUAACUAAUUUUCAAUUAUGUAUUUUAAUCUAUCACUAAAUAAUUAAUUAUAAUCAAGAUGUUAAUUUUCCAUAAAAUGUACAUAAUUUUGGUUGGUAUAUUAAUAAAUUUAGCCCUAAAAAUUUACACAUGCAAUUUGGUCUUAAUUUAACAAAAUUUUCCCGCAACAUUUGUGUAAAUAUGUAAAUGUUGAGGUUAAAUUUCUUGAAUUUUUUUUAAAAAAUUAAGGUCAAAAUGACAAAAAUAUAAAUAUUGAAAACUAAAUUUAUUACUGUACCAAUCAAAAUGACAAAAUAUAGCUAGGGACAUGGGCUUGACCGAGCCAACUCAACCUAUUUCAUCUGUUUCUAUUGACUUUUGCUCGACCCUACCCCAAAGACCUGUCAAUUUUGUUAAAAUUGAAAUAUUUAACUUGUUGGAGAAGACUAACUGUAGAAAAGUAAGUCAAUGCUAAAGUGAUAUGUCGACGUUUUGUUGUUUUCAAAAUAGUUGAUAAGCCUGAAAUUAUAAAAGAUAAUCAUGAGGUCUUAAAUGCAAUUAUGAUAUUUCUAAAAAGAUAUUUCUCAACAAUUUUUUUAAUUUCUUGAUUGAUGAAAACAAAUUUAGGUAUUUCCCAAUUUGUAAAAACAUGAUUUUUCUUUGAAUUUCUAGGUUUUUCUUAGCUUUUUUUUAUAUUAUUUUGGAAUUUUUGUAAUCUUCUUAUAAUUUCUUAAAAAAUAAUAUAUUUGUAAAAAUUUUUAAACCAUAAAUACCAAUUAAGAAGAAUGUGAUAAAAUUAGGGGUAAAUGUGUAUUUAAGCCAAAGAAAAUAAAAGAAUAAUAAUGAAAUUCACCUAAAAACAAUUACAAGGACUAGAUGAACAAUUUGACCUAAAACUUUGUUUGAAAUGAUGUCAUUAAUGUGUUACAUCAGCUUUCUUAGAGAGAUAAAAAUUAAAUGAAUAUGAGAUACAUGAAACUUGUAUCUCUUUCCAAUAAUUUAACAUUAUUUCAAUAUUUUCAUCUUGAAUUCACGAGUGAAGCGUACAUCAUAUACCAACUCAAUUGGAAAAAAGUCUUUAAAUUAUUUUUAAAUUGUAACAAAUAUUAUUAUUAAGAUGUUUUUCUUUUUAUAUUUUUUAUAAAAUAUAUUAAAAAACAAUUAAAAUAAUUUUAAGAGAAAAAAACUCAUACAAGGUAGAAUUUAAUCUAAAGAUGUCAAAGUUUUAAAGCCUCAACUUUAACAUUUCAACCGAAAUUCCAUUAGUAUAUAAAUAUUUAUAAAUAUAGAUUUUAUAUAAAAAAUUUUAUGUAAACUUUUUUUUAACCCGCAUCACAAGUACACCAUAUUUAGAGAUAUUCAUAGUUAGGCAGUCCACUUUGAGUCAAGCUUGAGCUUAGGUUUUCAAUCUCAAGUUGGCCCAAUUCAACUUAUUUUACUACUUAAAAAUAUAAAUAUAUGUUAUAUUGAUAUUUAUAUAUGUCUAUAGUUAAAAAAUUAUUAAAAAUAAAUUCAACUUAUUUAUUAAUUAAAAAUAUAAAUAUAUGUCUAUAAUUAAAUUUUAAAGAAAUUUAUUGUUAUUUUCUAAACAUAAAACAAAGAAAACUUUCACCCAAAUUAUAAGUUUGUGGUCAGGCAGCCCACUUUGGGACUGGAAUCAGCUUACUUUUUUAAUCUUGGGCUUUAAAAAUAAUAAAAAUAUAAAAAUAAUGUUCUAUUAAUAUUUAUAAAUUUUAUAAAUUUAAAUUUAAUUAUAUUUUUUAAACAGUAAAAUCAACCAUUUAUAUGGGCUAAAUUGAGUUAAGUUCGGUUUGCAUCAAGCCUUAACUUUGACCAAAUCCAACUAAAAACACCUCUAACCAUAAUCUAGUAUUGUUUUUAUGAAUUCAAUUUUAACUUGUAAUUUUCAAUUCUAUUACAAAAUUUCUUUGCCUACGAUAAGAAAAUAACAUAUUUGUAACUAAGUAAUUAAUUAAGUUAAUGUCACGAGUGAAUCAUACAUUAUAUGCCAACUCAAUUGGAAAAAGUUUUUAAAUUAUUUUUAAAUUGUAACAAAUAUUAUUAUUAAGAUGUUUUUCUUUUUAUAUUUUUUAUAAAAUAUAUUAAAAAACAAUUAGAAUAAUUUUAAGAGAAAAAAACUCAUACACGGUAGAAUUUAAUCUAAAGAUAUCAAAGUUUUAAAGCCUCAACUUUAACAUUUCAACUAAAAUUCCAUUAGUACAUAAAUAUUUUAUAAAUAUAGAUUUUAUAUUAAAAAAAUUAUGUAAACUUACAUAUAUGGUUCGUCAUGCAAAUGUUUAUUAUAUUUAAAAAUUAACAUAUAUGGUUAUUGAAUUUUAAUACUGGCUUGAGGAGUCGACUCUAUUGUAGAUUCUAGAUUAAUCUAAUAUUUCACCCUCUUUUAAUUUUCUUUAUUGGAAGAGUCUUUAAGAGAUAAGUUAAGUAGUAUAGCAGUUUCAUCUAAAACAACAUCUCUGCUAAUCACAACUUUUCUAUUUUUAGGACACCAUAACUUAUACCCUUUUACAUCAGCUUUAUAACCAAUAAAAACACAUUUAAUGAAUCUCGGUUCCAAUUUUUCAUUAUCAACAUGAGCUUACGAAGGACACCCAAAGAAUUUAAUCUAAAGAUAUCAAAGUUUUAAAGCCUCAACUUUAACAUUUCAACCGAAAUUCCAUUAGUAUAUAAAUAUUUUAUAAAUAUAGAUUUUAUAUAAAAAAAUUUUAUGUAAACUUUUUUUUAACCCGCAUCUCAAGUGUACCAUAUUUAAAGAUAUUCAUAGUUAGACGUCCACUUUGGGUCAAGCUUGAGCUUAUGUUUCCAAUCUCAAGUUGGCCCAAUUCAACUUCUUUUACUUUUUAAAAAUAUAAAUAUAUGUCUAUAAUUAAAUUUUAAAGAAAUUUAUUGUUAUUUUCUAAACAUAAAACAAAGAAAACUUUCAUCCAAAUUAUAAGUUUGUGGUUAGGCAGCCCACUUUGGGACAGGAUUCAGCUUACGUUUUUAAUCUUGGGCUUUAAAAAUAAUGUUCUAUUAAUAUUUACAAAUUUUAUAAAUUUAAAUUUAAUUAUAUUUUUUAAACAGUAAAAUCAACCAUUUAUAUGGGCUAAAUUGAGUUAAGUUCGGUUUGCAUCAAGCCUUAACUUUGACCAAAUCCAACUAAAAACACCUCUAACCAUAAUCUAGUAUUGUUUUUAUGAAUUGAAUUUUAACAUGUAAUUUUCAAUUUUAUUACAAAAUUUCUUUACCUACAAUAAGAAAAUAACAUAUUUGUAACUUCUCCAAUUCGACGUAAAUGUUCAGUCUGAAUUCAGAAGAUUACAUCAGCCAUAAAGAUGGCCUAGCAAGGUUAUUAGAGUUUUCAAAAACAGGCAUCUUUAAAAUGCUUGUUUAAUUUAUACAAAAACUUAUUUAAUUUCCAAAUUAUUUAUUACUUGAAAUCUUAAUUAUACUUUGAAAGCAAGAAGUGGUAACUAUUUAUUUUUAAUAAAAAUCAGGGUUCAUGUAUAAUUGAUUAAUAACUGUUAGAAUUAAGCGACCCGAAUCUUUAUUUAAAUGAAAUACAGUGGUAAAAUAAAAUAAAAUUAAAAUCCCUAUAGAACUACACUUAUUUUAUUUUAUUUUAGAAUAAGGAUUUUUAAACCUUAUUAAACUCCAUCCAUUUGAUAUUGAUUAGAAUAAGGUGUUUCAAUCUUACUACACUCCUAUUAGAAUAUGGUUUUACAAGCCUAUAAAUAGACAUAGUCUACUCCUCUUGUAAUUAUUCGAAUUCGACAUAGGGAUUUAUCUUCUCCUCUACCAAUAGCUUUUUCCCUGAAAGGGUUUCCACGUAAAAUCUGUGUGUUUUUUUUAUUUUUCUCCCUUUUAUUCUUUGCAAUACAUUGUCAUUACCAACAUUCUAUUUUUAGCAAAUUGGUAUCCAAGCUUCCAAUUUGUUCAUCUCAAUCAUGGUAAUGGCGUCUUUGAAGUAUGAAAUUCUGCUAUUGGAUCGCAACACCAGAUCCGCAUUGUGGCAGAUAAAGAUGCAGGCAGUUCUUACACAGAUAGACUUAGAGGAAGCCUUGCUAGGGGUAGAUAAAAUGUAUUCAACAUUAACAGAGGAAGAGAAGAAGCACAAGGAUCGAUAGGCGUUAACACAAUUACAUCUUCAUUUGUCCAACGAAAUUUCACAGUAUGGAGAAGACCGUCGCUGGAUUAUGGAAGAGGUUGGAACAAAUAUGUACGUCGAAUACUCUAACUAGCAAGUUGCAUAUGAAGCAGCUUCUUUAUGCUCAUCGUUUGGAGGAAGGUGUCUCUAUGCACGAACACUUAAUAGUGUUUAAAGGAAUUCUCUCGAACUUAGAGGUCAUGAAGGUUCAGUAUGAUAAUGAAGAUCUACGAUUGAUUCUACUUUGUUCGUUGCCUCUAUCUUAUUCAACCAUUAGAGAUGGGAUUUUAUAUAGCCGCGAGUCUCUCACAGUUGAUGAGGUUUAUGAUUCUUUAACCUCGUAUGAUAAGAUGAAGCAUCUUUUUCGUAAAACUGACUCUUAGGGAAUGGGUCUCAUUGUUCAUAGUAGAUAAGAUCAGAAUGCUGAUGAUGAUCGUGAAAGGACACAGGAAUAGAAUUCUCGCGAUAAAUCUAAGGAUAGAUCAAAGAUUUCAAGCAGAGGUAAAACUUGUAACUUCUGCAAGAAGAAAGGGCACAUUAAAUCUGACUGUUAUAAGCUACAAAUCAAUAUCAAAAGGGAGGUUGUGAAACAAAAUGGAAAACAACUAGAAUAUGUUGGUAAAGCUGAUGUUGUAGAAGACUAUAGCGAUGGUGAACUUCUAGUCACUUCUAUCAACAAUUCUAAAAUAAGCGAGGAGUGGAUCCUUGAUUUGGGCUGCACCUUUCACAUGAGUCCCAAUGGAUAUUGGUUUAUAACUUACGAAAUAGUGUUUGAAGGUGUUGUUUUGAUGGGAAAUAAUGCUUUAUGUAGAAUUGCAGGUGUUGGGACAAUAAAAGUUAAGAUGUUUGAUGGAGUUCUCAGAACACUUAAUGACGUACGACAUGUUCUAGAAUUGAAGAGAAAUUUAAUUUCAUUGAGUACUCUUAUUCAAAAGGUUAAAAAUACAUAGCUAAAAGUGGGGUUUUUAAUAUUUCCAAAGGUUCUCUCGUUGUGAUGAAAGGGCAGAGAAAGACUGCCAAGUUAUAUGUUUUGUAGGGUUUAGGAGUUCUUUGGCAUAUACGCCUAGGGCAUAUAAGUGAGAAUGACAUGGCAGAAUUGAGCAAAAGAGGACUUCUUGAUGGGCAAGGAAUUUGCAAACUGAAGUUCUGUGAUCACUGUAUUUUUGAGAAGUAAAAGAGAGUUCGAUUCAUCAGAGGAAUCUAUAACACGAAGGGAACAUUGGAGUAUAUUCAUUCUGAUCUGUCGGGGACACCCAGAGUGCAUUCAAGAGGUGGAGCUAAUUAUAUGCUAACUUUUAUUGAUGAUUUUUCUAGAAAAGUUUGGGCGUUCUUCCUAAAGCAGAAAAUCGAUGUGUUUUUCGCAUAUAAGUCUUGGAAAACUAUGAUUGAAAAACAUAUGGAAAAACAAAUAAAAUAUCUCCACAUAGAUAAUGGCUCAAAGUUCUGUUCUAAUCACUUUAAUAAACUGUGCAAGUCAGAAGGGAUCGUGAGACACUUGACAGUUUGCCACACUCCACAACAAAACGGUGUUGCAGAACGAAUGAACAGAAUGAUCGUGGAGAAGGUUUAAUGUAUGUUUUCAAAUGCCAACUUAACAAAGUUGUUUUGGGCCGAAGUAGCCUCUACUAUAUAUUUUUUGAUCAACCGAUCUCUAUCUAUUGCCAUUGAGAAAAAGACUCCACAAGAGGUAUGGUCUGGUAAUCCUGCUAACUGUUCUGAUUUAAAGAUCUUUGGGUGUCCUGUGAAUGCUCAUGUUGAUAAUGGAAAAUUGGAACUGAGAUCCAUUAAGUGUGUUUUUCUUGGUUAUAAAGCUGGUGCAAAAGGGUAUAAGUUAUGGUGCCCUAAAAAUAGAAAAGUUGUGAUUAGCAGAGAUGUUGUUUUUGAUGAAACUGCUAUGCUACCUAACUCAUCUCUUAAAUACUAUUCCAAUAAAGAAAAUAAAAAGCAGGUGGAGUAUCAGAGUAAUCCAAAAUCUACAACAGAGUCGACUCCUCAAGCCAAUACAAAAAUUCAAAAUAGAGUUGCUUCUUUACCACAAUACUCUAUCGUAAAAAAUAAAACUAGAAGAGAUAUUAAACCCUCAAAGAAAUAUGCCGAGGCUGAUCUAGUUGCUUAUGCUUUAAAUAUUGCUAAAGAUAUAGAUGCAAACCAAGAGCCAUCUAAUUAUUUUGAUCCGGUUAGCUAUAAAGACUCAGAAAAAUGGAUGUUUGCUAUGUAAGAGAAGAUGGAAUCACUCUACAAAAACAAAACAUGGGAUCUUGUAAAACUUCCUAAAGGUAAAAAGGUUGUUCGUUGUAAAUGGGUGUUUAAAAAGAAAAAGGGGACUCUGGGAGUUGAAGAACCCAGAUUUAAAGCAAGGCUUGUUGUAAAGGGUUACAGUCAAAUUCCAAGAGUGGACUUCACAGAUGUGUUCUCCCCAGUUGUGAAGCAUAGUUCGAUUUGAGCUUUGCUUGGUAUUGUGGCCAUGCAUGAUUUGGAGCUAACUGUAAAAACUACAUUUUUGCAUGAAGAACUUGAGGAUGAUACUUACACGCAACAACCAUAGGGUUUUAUAGUCUCAGAAAAAGAGGACUAUGUUUGCCUGUUGAAAAAGUCCUUUUACGGUUUGAAACAGUCACUAAGAAAGUGGUACAAGAGGUUUGUUUCCUUUAUGACUUCUUAUGAUUUUAAAAAAAGUAGCUUUGACAGUUGUGUUUACUUUAAGAAAAAUAGUGAUGAUUCUUUUGUGUAUCUACUUCUUUAUGUUGAUGACAUGUUGAUAGCAACAAAAGAUAAAUGAGAGAUAAGAAAGGUUAAAGCCCGACUAAGUGAAGAUUUUGAGAUGAAAGAUUUGGGACCAGUAAAGAAGAUACUUGAUAUAGAGAUUCUCAGAGAUAGAAAAGUAAGUAAAUUGUACCUAAGUCAGAAGGGGUACAUUGAGAAAGUUCUUUGCAAAUUCAAUAUGCAGAAUGCUAAGCCUGUUAGUACUCCUUUAGCAGCCUAUUUCAGACUUUCAUUGGCUUUGUCUCUACAAUCAAAUGAUGAGAUUGAGUACAUGUCAUAUUUUUCAUACUCUAGUACAAUGGGAUCUCUCAUGUAUGCUAUAUUUUGUUCACGUCCAAAUUUAUUAUAUGCAGUCAAUACAGUUAGUAGAUAUGUGGCAAAUCCUGGUAAAGAACAUUGGAAAAUACUGUUUCCAAAAAUUUAUGGAUUUCUGGUGAGUGAACUUCUAGUGAAAUUAUUGUGCUAAGUCCAUUGGGGCAGUCUGUUUGAGUAAGUACACUUUAUAGGAAUGUACCUUUGGAAGUACAAGGGAUUGUGUUUUCGGCAGAUCUGGUGAGGUUACUUCUAGUGAAAUUAUUGUACUAAGUCUGUUGGGGUAGUCUAUUCGAGUAAGUAGACUUUAUAGGAAUGUACCUUUGGAAGUACAAGGGAUUGUGUUUUCGGCGUUUUAUUCACAUAAAAGCAGCAAAAUUUAGCGACAUUGUCUACAGCGGCAUUUUUUACGGCGCUUGUGAAAGCGCCGCUAUAGGCCUAAAAAACACCGCUAAAAGCCUAUUUUGCUGCAGUGAAUUAAUAUUAUUAUAAGUAUAUUUUCACCUUUUCAUUCUUUUAUAUAAUCUUCAAGUAAAAUGAUUGAAAAAUAUUAUUUGAGAAUCAAACACAAGACUAACAAUAUUCAUAUAGAAAACGCUUAUCACUCCACUAAUAAUCAUUUGUUGAUGUAUUUUUGGUAAAAAGAGCCCUCCAAUCCCUCUUAAUUUCACAACUUCUCAAAUUAGUCCCUCUCAAAAAAAUUGGAGCAAUUUAAUCCCUAUCAAUUUUGAAAGUGAGUAACUAAGGACAAUUAAUUAUGGUGUUAAAUUCUUCAAUCAAUUGUACAUAAUUUUGAUUGGUAUAAUAAUAAAUUUAGCCUUUAAUGUUUAUGUAUUUUGUCAUUUUGGCCUUAAUUUUUUUAAAAAAAAUUCAAGAAAUUGAACCUCAACGUUUACAUAUUUGCACAAAUGUUGCAGGAAAAUUUUGUUAAAUUAAGACCAAAAUGCAAGUGUAAAUUUUGUUAAAUUAAGACCAUAUUUUCCCCCUUUAUUUUUUCAGUGCCGACCGGAAAAAAAAAUUUCAGUCUCAUCUAAAUAAGACAUACUUCAGCAGACCAAUAGACUGCAGAUCAGACCCAAUUCAAGGGUAAUGCAGUCCAAAGUUCCUUGAACUCCCUCCUCCAAAGUGAAAAACAAAUCUAUAUAUUUCUGCAUGAUUCAAACAGAAAGGACUGUUGGACAUGUAACUCAGAAAGAAUGCAAAUACAUUGAAAGUACCAUAGACUUUAUAAAUUAGUUUCAUGUUGUUAAAUUUCAACACUAUAAACCUAAAAAUUCCCAGAACGAAAUGCGGGAAUCAUGCCUUAAACUCCAAUACUCAAAUAAGAGACAGAUAAAUUGCACAUUUUUUAAUAUAAUAUUUACAGACUAGAGAUAAAAAUAUAGAAAAAUAUAAACAUGGACAUCGACAAAAAGACUAAUUGACUGUGCAUGUGUGCUAGAGAGUGGCAAUUAAACAUUAUCCAAACACAAUCAUUUCUCAACAUUUGUAAAACAAAAAGAAGAUUAAGAUUAGCAGUAAACUAAAUAAAACCAAAGAAGUGAGAACCACAAGUAAAUGAGAAAGAAAACAAAAUAGAGAUCCUAGUAGCUUUCCCAUUGAACUUCGUAUAAGAGAAAUAACAACAUUUGAACUUUAAGCAAAUAAAAAUGUAAAAUAUUCAGAAUCAAAACAAUCUUUUAUCAAAAUUCAAGCCAAAAACAAUGAGCUUCACUCUAUACAAGAAGCAUGUUAAAGUCAUAGGCUUUCUCGUUUCUGGAAACCAAAUCCAGAAACGUCUCCCACCAAAAAUCAAGAAAAUAACUUCUGUUUUUGAAAAUCACAUUCAAAUCGUGAAAUAGGAGCAAGGUCCUUCAAAUUCAAGCAAAGUUGGUAGUAAAAGCUUAACUUUCAAAGGUCAAACAACACAGCAUUAAGUAUAAAACUAACCCAAUCUCCACCAAUUCAAAAACAAGAAACCAAACACGAACCCGAAGAUCCAAACACGAUUUCGAAAAAAAAAAAUAGAUAUUCCUGAAAAUCGGAUAAAAAACUAGCAUAUACUUAAUGAAAAGAGAAAUUGACGAAAAAUCACAAGAGAUCUGCAUGCAAAUAUAGGCACACUUUUGCUUGAUUAUUCGCUUAAAAAAGUAACAAUGGAAAACAAGAUGCAAGUGUCACGGGCCGCAGUUCAAAGCCCGUGACCAGCGCACCAAAUGCAUCCAAUAGAGAUCUAUUGCUCAGAUAGGGAUCAUUUGGCCCACAAGAACUGGCUCGAUUCAAGGAGCUAUUGGACAAGCCUGUCAGAUUGAAGCCUGGUUGGCCCGAAAACGAAGAGAUGGCAACUUAGGCUAAUAUGGUAACUAAUCUUAGAAGAUAGAGGGAAUCUUAUCUUGUAAAGAUUAGAUUAGAUUAGAUAAGGCUUAUCUUGUAAAUCCCUAAAAUUAAGGGAUAUGGGUUAAUCUCAUCCGUCGAUGUAAAUGUAUAUUGACCGUCGAUUUUGGGGGAGAUCAACUAUAAAUAGAGAGCCUCCCCCUCAUUUGUACUCACUCUUGUAAUUAUUUCAUUAUUCUUUGUGAAUAAGAGAAUUGAGAGCAUUUACUCAAACACUUUACGAGCGUCCUUUCUGUUGUUCUUUUGUUUAGCUUCUUUUGGCACAAUCGCUUCCGCUAUACAAAUUGGUGCCUUGGAGGAGUUCUAAAAGAAUCCUCACUUGAGUUAAGCCUGACUUGGGCGAGUUUGGAUGAACAAAUUGUCUAAGGCUGCACGAAUUACGAGACGAAAGGUCUAGCCCUGUGACAAGUGGUAUCAGAGCCAAGUUUUGAACCAAGUGACAUUCGAGUUGGUUUGAAGGCACCGUUGGGAUGUCAAGAGAAGAGUUCGAACAAAGGUGGGAGAAGAAGUAUUUGAGGGAGACAUUAUCGGUAGUAGAGAAACGUGUGGGUAAACUCGAGGGAUCCAUGGAGGAUGUAAAGGAGGCACUCGAUGGGGUCGAGGAUCACAUUGCAAACUGGAAGGAGCAGUCUAGAGACUAUGUAAAGAUGUCUCUUAGUUCCAUCAUGGAUAUGGUAAACGAGUUGUUUAAUUCACACAGGGAUAAGCUGUCGGAAAGGAAUGAUGCUCUCGAGGCCAAAAUGAUGGCUUUGAAAGAGGAAACAAUGGCCACGACGAGGGCUUUGAGCACAAGAAUAGAGGAGCUCGAGGGAGAGCUGGCCUUGUGUUGAGCAGCCGUGAGGAAAGGAGUGGCAAAUGUAGCACUCAGUAACGAGGAUGUCCCAAAGCUGAAAGAGUUUGUGGGGACAAGGUCUGCGUGCGAUGUGGAUAAUUUCUUAUGGAGGAUGGAAAACUACUUCCGUGCCAAAGGCGUCAUGGAUGAUACGGUUAAGGUAAACACUACUUCAAUGUUUCUUACUGCCAUUGCACUUUUAUGGUGGAGAGGUAGGACCACAAAUAAAAGGCAAGGUGAGAUUGGGACGUAGCAAGAGUUCCAAUGCGAAUUGAAGGGACAGUUUUACCCAGAGUUUACCGAGGAAGAAGCUCGGGCAAAGUUGCAAGGGAUAACGUAACAGGGCACAGUGGGGGAGUAUGUUCGAGAGUUCAAGGAACUCAUGCUCCAAGUUUUAAAGGUGACCGAAAGAGAGGCAUUGCUUGCUUUUCAAAAUGGAUUGAAGCCGUGGGUCAGACAGGAGGUGGAACAAAGAGGUGUCCAAAAGCUAUCGGAAGCCAUGACGGUAGUUGAGUCUGUGGUUAAGCUUAGUCUAGGGAAAGACAAGCUUGGAUCUUCCAAGUCCGAUGGAAGGGGUAUAUGUGAAAUGGAUCAAAAGGAAGAUAGUGUUGAUGGCAAUGGCAACGGCAACAAUGGUGGUAAUGGGAAACCAUGAGUUGGGAAGAAGAAACCCAAGAGGAAAAGGGACAAGCUAAAAUGCUUUCUCUGCGACGGUCCACACAUGCUGAAGAAAUGUCUGAAAAAUUUGAGCUCAAGGAGAAGCCGGUGGGUAAGGCCUUGGUACUUGGUUCGAGCGCAAGGGGUGUCGAAGCCAAGAAGGCCAAAAGUAAGAAGAAGCCAGUGGAGUGGUUCUUGUGUCAUGGUCCGCAUAGGUUACGAAAGUGUCCGAGGAAGUCUAUCAUCGAGGGGAAUGAUGGAGCAGACAAGGAGCCCAAGAAGCUUGGUUCGAGCAAGGGAAAAGCCGAAGCCAAAGGGGCAAAAGGGAGCAAAAAGAAGCGAGUAAAGUGCUUCUUGUGCCGUGGUCCGCAUGAGUUACGGAACUGUCCAAAGCAAGCCGGAGUCAUAAGAAAGGCAACGUCUGAGCUUGGUGAGUCAUCGGAGGGGCUUCCACCCAAGGAAGAGGUGAGUUUGUCAUCGAACUUAAAGGAAAUAGUUGCGAUGAAAACAGUGAAGCUGGGACCAAUGAGGCUCAAGUUGAGUGAAGCGUCGGAGUUGGCCGAGUCAUCGAUAAGGCUUCCACCUAUGGGAGAGGUGGGUGGUGCAUCAGACUUCAAGGGAAAAGAAGGGAUGCAUGUGGGACAGUUGACCAGAGUAAAUGCGACGAGUAGGACGGUUUGAGUUAAGAAGCGACGUAAGCCGAGGCAAAAAUCCCGAAGGAAGGGAAAGGCUAAGGCAUUGAGACAAGACCGAGGUGAAUCGAGUCAGUGCCAUUCAAAAGUCACAACGAGGACGGUGCAAGAAUGUGUGGGGGAGAAUGUCACGGGCCGCAGUUCAAAGCCCAUGACCAGCGCACCAAAUGCAUCCAAUGGAGGUUUGUUGCUCAGAUGUGGAUCAUUUGGCCCACAAGAACUGGCUCGAUUUAAGGAGCUAUUGGACAAGCCUGUCAGAUUGAAGCUUGGUUGGCCCGAUAACGGAGAGAUGGAAACUUAGGCUAAUAUGGUAACUAAUCUUAGAAGAUAGAGGGAAUCUUAUAUUGUAAAGAUUAGAUUAGAUUAGAUAAGGCUUAUCUUGUAAAUCCUAAAAUUAAAGGAUAUGGGUUAAUCUCAUCCGUCGAUGUAAAUGUAUCUUGACCGUCGGUUUUGGGGGAGCUCAACUAUAAAUAGAGAGCCUCCCCCUCAUUUGUACUCACUCCUGUAAUUGUUUCAUUAUUCUUUGUGAAUAAGAGAAUUGAGAUCAUUUACUCAAACACUUUGUGAGCGUCCUUUCUAAUGUUCUUUUGUUUAGCUUCUUUUGGCACAAUCGCUUCCGCUAUACAAAUUGGUACCUUGGAGGAGUUCUAAAAGAAUCCUCACUUGAGUUAAGGCUAACUUGGGUGAGUUUGAACGAACGGAUCGCCUAAGGCCUCACAGAUUGUGAGACGAAAGGUCUAGCCCCGUGACACAAGUGCUAGGUAAAACCAUCAUGUCUGCUUACUCACCACAAACAAAGGCCCUCUAGGACCUUCAUGAAUUUUUGUCUUAUAAGUGCUUCCAUUGUGAGCCUGAACAGCUUGAUAGCCCACAAGAUAAGGAUAUCGAUCUUUACCCUACAGAUUAACAAGGUUAAAUCCACUUAAAUGAAGCACCAUUAGUCUAUAACAAUUUACUUCAAUUUUCUGCUGUUAGUUCAAAUAUUUAUUUUUUUAAUUUGCCAAAACUUGCUAGGAUCGAAGAUUUGGAAUUCCUAAAUUUCAAUUACAAAUUUACACCGUACUUGCAGAAAAAUAUAUUACUAUUAGAGACACCAGCAAUCAACCAGAGUUCUUUAGUUUUCAAUCAAGUUAUUCGACAGGUAUCUAUAUUGAUUACACAAAAAAAAUCAUACACCGUGAGAAUGUCGAGUAAAUUACAAAUACAAAAGCAAACGAACCCUAAAGGAGCUCCAAUACUUCUUCUCCCAGGGGCCUUUGUAUAGAGAUCCAAUGGAAACGAUCUCUAGAUCCUCUAAUUUCGUUGUUUGUUCUCCUUUUUUUGUUUUCGCCAUUCAAAGAAAUGAGAAGAAAGCAAGAUUUCCAAACAACUAACAAUAAGAGAGUAGAGAGGAUUUUCAAGAUAGACGAAGACAUGGCAUUUUAAAAUAGGGGAACUAAAAUCUUAAAAUGCAUGAUUUCCCUUGAAAUUCUAAAUAAAAACUUUAUUUGAUUAGGAAAAAUGUGAAUUGAUUUUGGGAAAAAGAAGGGAAAAAAAAGAAAAGAUUUCAUUUGAAAUAUUGGGAUAAAAAAAUAUAAUUACAAAACGACGCCGUUUUGAAAAAAACAUAUUCGUGGCGUUUGGAAAAAAAAGUCACUAUUGCUCGACUUUUAGCGACAUUUGGACCAAAAACGCUACUAUUGUUCAACUUUUUUCUGCAUUUACAACAAAAAAGCCGCUAUUGCUUACCUUUUGCGGCGUUUUUUUUAUAAAUGCCGCUAACACUUGACUUUUUUACAAUUUUUAUAUUGAAUUAUUGUAUCUUUCAUAUAAAUUUUAAAUGAAUAAUUUUUAGUUUUUGUAUUUCAUUUUUAUUUUUGUAUUUCAUUUUUAUUUGUUAUAAUUUUGUCCUAUCCAAAAUAGAUAGUUACCUAUCCAUAUCAAUCUGUUACUUUUUUUUAUUUAUUUAUCAAUAUUUUUUUAAAUUUAAUAGUUAAAUAUAUUAAAUGGUUUAGAUUUAAUAUUUUUAAAUAUAAAAGCAUUAAUUGAUUGUAUAAAAUUUUAUCAUUUAACAAAUCUCAAGUAAACCUUAAAUCCUAAACCAUUUAAUAUAUAUAAAGUUUAUCUAUUAUCUCUUAAAUAAUUUAAACUAUAAUCAUAAUUUUAAUAUAUUAAAAUUAAAAUUAAAAUGAUCUCUUUUACAAUUAUAUAAGAAAUUAUUUAAUAUAUAAAUUAAAAAACACUAAUUAACCUAAACCCUAAACCCUAAACCCCUAUCCCCUAAACCUUGAAUUAUAAAACAUAAAACAUAAACCCUAAAUCCCUGAAUCCCUAACCCUUAACCCCUAACCCCUAACCCCUAAACCUUAAACCCCAACCCUUAAACCAUAAUCCCUAAACCCAUAAUCCAUAAUCCAUAAACCUUAAAAUAGUAACUCUUAAACCUUAAACCCUAAACCAUAAACCCUAAACUAUAAUGAUAAUUAAUUCAAUAUUUUAAAAUUAAUACUAUCUCUUUUACGAUUAUAUAAGAAAUUAUUUAAUAUAUAAAUUAAAAACAAUCAGUCAUGUACCCAAGAAACUUUAAAAUUAUUUUAAAUAAUAUAUUUUAAUUUUUUCAUUUUUAACAAAUAUUUUCUAUGUUUUUACUUUCAAAAUUUCUCUACGUGUCAUUAUUUUUUUCUGAAGAAUUUAAAUAUUCAAUUAAAAAUAAAUUUAUUUUAAUUAAUAUAAAUAAAGCGGUUAAAUAAUAAAUAGACAGAUAAAAUACUUUUUGCGGUGAUUUUCAUAAAGUGCCGCUAAAGCUCGAUCUACAGCGGCGUUUUACGAAAAAGAGUCUUACUGAAUUUUUUGGGGCAUUUUUCAAAAAGCGCCACUAAUUCUCGAUCUAUAGUGGCGUUUUUCAAGAAGCGCCGCUAAUGCCACUAAAGCUCAACAUAAAACACCAGCAUUGAGCUUAAUUUUUUUGCGGCGUUUUUCAAAAAGAGCCGCUAAUGGUAGACCUAUAGCGGCGUUUUUCAAAAAGCGCCACUAAAGCUCAACAUAAAACACCGGCGUUGUGCUUAAUUUUUUUACGGCAUUUUUCAAAAAGCGCCGCUAAUGGUCGACUUAUAGCAGUGGUUUUAAAAAAGACCCACUAAUGCUCGAUCUAUAGCGGCAUUUUUCAAAAAGCGCCGCUAAUGCUCGAUCUAUAGUAGCGUUUUUUAUCCAAACGCCGCUAAAAAUGCCACUAAAAACCUAUUUUGCUGUAGUGAUUUGUGGGGUAAGUGGUUGAACAUUUUAAUAUAGACUGACUUUUCUAUAAUUAGUCCUUGCUUUAAUUACUUUGGGUGGAUUCUUCCAACUAGUCCAAGCAUUAUUGUACAAUUACAAUUAAUCUUUUUAAAUGAGACAAACAUUUCAAAUUUGUCAUUACUAUUUGUGAGUGAUUUGGGGGUAAGAAGUUUAACUCUUCUGGAUGUCUUAUAGAAUUGUGAUUAUACUUUUUGAGUAUUGACUCAGUUUUCCACAAUUGUGGGUCUCUAUUUGAGCAAAACAAUUUCAACAUUUCUUCAUCUCGUUUAAUCCAAAUGCAUUUAUGCAUUUCUUAUAUCAUUGAAUUUGCUGCUUCAUAUUCAAUUUUUGGACAAGUAGAAUUUUCUAACCUAUUUUCCAUCAACUUCACUUGAAUUUUCAAUCACAAUCAAUUGCAUUCAAGAGCACCACAUCUUUUUGGAUGAAACAAAAAUUUCAAUUUUAAGAUAAACGGGUCUUUAGGGUUAUAAUUUCAAUUUUUAAAAGUUUAAAAUAAAUUUGUAUUUUUAUUAACAAAAUGUAUAUAAAAAAAAACUUGUUUAGACAAGCCAAGAGACCUUUGGGAUCAUACGGGUGAUUUUGAUGAUGUUAAUGGUUAUUUUGGUGGAGAGAGUGAAAAAGAAACAAAUGAUUCAUUAUAUAUAUUAUAAUUAUGAAAUUCAAGCCAUAUAUUGUAUGUUUCAUACAUAAAAAAAAUUGGAGCAAUUUAAUCCCUAUCAAUUUUGAAAGUGAGUAACUAAGGACAAUUAAUUAUGGUGUUAAAUUCUUCCAUCAAUUGUACAUAAUUUUGAUUGGUAUAGUAAUAAAUUUAGCCUUCAAUAUUUAUAUAUUUUUUCAUUUUGGCCUUAAUUUUUUUUAAAAAAUUCAAGAAAUUCAACCUCAACAUUUACAUAUUUACACAAACAUUGCGGGAAAAUUUUGUUAAAUUAAGACCAAAUUGCAAGUGUAAAUUUUGAGGGCUAAAUUUAUUAUUAUACCAACCAAAAUCAUGUACAUUUUAUGGAAAAUUAACAUCUUGAUUAAUUAUUCUUAGUUGUUCACUUUCAAAAUUAAUAGGGACUAAAUUACUUUGAUUUUUUUAGGGUGACCAAUUUCCUCAAAGUGGAAAUUGAGAGAGACUAUUGAGAUCUUUUGCAUAUUUCUUUUAUAAAUAUAUUUUUUAAAUAUAAAAUAUAUUUGUUCACACACAUCGUGAGUAUGAUCUCAAUAGUCCACAUAAUCCAUUAAAAAAACUUAAAAAAUAUAUUUUAUUUUUUAACACCUAAGUGAUUCUCCAGCUAACGACCACCCAAGACACACCCCGACUUUAUAACACCCCAAUCUUAUUUAAUUAUUAGUUAUUUAUUAAUGCAGAAGUAAAUUAUGAGCCAAUUUUAAUCUUUUCCUCGGUAAUUUAACCUAAGGCCAAUUUCAUCAUUUUACCACCUAUUGUAAAACUAACCCGAUUUUAGAUAUAACAACAUGUUUGGUUUGGUGUAAUAGAUUAGCCAUUACACCCCUAUUUCGUGGGCCCCACUAAUCCCCACUUAUUCUUGUGUUUGGUUUGAUGUAUUGCCUAUUACAGGCCUAUUACAACACGAAUGUAUUCCUCAUUUUCUCUGCUUCAACAAUGAUUAGCCAUUCCGUUCCAAAAGUAAGGAUUAGCUAAUCGUCUCUGUUUUACCCUCCUCAGCCAAAAUCUACUGCUCCACCCCACCCUCUCCCUCCCAACAUCAACAGCAGUUUUCUUCGAACCAAAUCUCCACCGUCUCAGAUCGCCUGUGAGUAAUCUCAACAGCAGUUGCCAGUGAAAAUUGCCCUUUCUUCAAAAACCCAGCCCUAAACCCUUCUUCUCUUUCAAUACUCCAUUCGAACAGGUUGCGGUGUCUCCCUCCUCUGAGGUAUGGCUCUGUUUCUUUAACUUUAGCAUUGAGCGACUCUUUUCAAUUCCAAAAUUAGUCUACUCUGCUAAGGGUUCUUGCUUUUCAAACCAUUUUUUCACCAUUUUUCUUGUAAUUCUUUUUCUUGUUAGAGUUCAGAUUUUAGAUUUUUUUUAAAAAAAAACGAUUAGAUUGUGAGGUUCAGUUAAUUAUUAGGGUUUUCUGUUUUGGGUUUCCCUGUUGCGUGGUAAUUUUGAAGUGCAUAUAAAAUGGAUGCUUUUGAGGAUCUUAAGCAAUUCGGCGAUACUGAUAAAGGUUGAUAUUCGAUUCAUUUUGCUUUAAUUUACUUGGUUUAUGCAUUUUGGGGAUAAAAUUAGCUUUGUUUUCUUCUCUUUUGGUUGGCUUUAAGCUGAGAGUAAAAUUUGAAACCUUUGUGGUGGAGGAGUUACCGUUCUUCUGAGAUCAAAUGUAUAACAGGUUAGAAGGAAAUGAAAUUAGAUCCUUAAAUAUUGUGUUUUCAAUGUUAAGGGCAGGCUUUUGUUGCUAAAACAAUUGUGGUAACACUGUUUGAUUCAGUUAGAAGUCAAAUGUCGUUUCCAUGUGUGAACAAUUUCUGGUUUUUAAGUAGCGACUUUGUUUCAUGUUGGCCUGGACAUUUUCCAAAUUAGUAAUUAUAAGUUUGAAUUUGGCUACUAAAUCACGCCAAUUAAUGAUUUCAGUGUGCUGGUGUUUCAGACUUUCAGUUGAAUUGACUUUGGUUUCGAAUAUUUUUAGUGAUGGAAAUAAGCACGAUUUAUUUAAAUUAUGAUUGAAUUGGAGAAACUGCUUUUUGUACAUUUUGAGAAAUAUCAGGCCCUUGGAUACACAAAGGGUGUUAACUUGCGCCUAUCUCAAUUACCCCAUUCCUGCCCAUUGAAUUGGAGAAAGUUCUUUUUUUUAAUGAUUCUGCGUUGCUACUGAUUUUUAGUGAAAUGGUAUUUUUCUUAUGAUGUGUUUUCUUCUUUAUGAAGAGCUCAUUUCAGUAAAGUUAACCUUUCUAUUAUGCAGAAGGUGCAGUAUUUGAUGCAUCACAAUAUGCAUUUUUUGGAAACAAUGUUCUCGAGGAAGUUGAAUUGGGGGGGCUAGAUGAUGAGGAUGAGGAUUUACCUGCAGCUGGACUUGAUGAAGAGGAGUUUUUGUUUGAUCAAGAGGAGGUUAAUAUUCUUGUUUCUUUCAGUUUUAUUUUUCCUGUUUCGAUUGUUCUUGCAAGUUUCUGCAGCAUAGCACAACCAGUGACUAUUCGAUCGAAAAAUAAAUGUAUCCCUUCCAGGCGUCAUGCUAAAAAAUAGCCUUUUGGAUUAGUGUUGGAUUUUUUCUCCAUGUUCUUUAACAGAUAGAUUCCACUGCAUUCAAUUAGUGGUUGGCAUGCGAGUUUUAUUUGUGGAAUAAAGCUCUGUGGGAGUUCAUAUUAUAUAUUGUUCUAUUUGUCUGUGCAAAACAUUGUGAACCUUGUUCUCUGUAUUUAUAAGUUGACAAUGUAGCCAUCUUGGUUGGCUGCUUUCCGAAGUCAAUUUAUUUGAUUCGUUCUCUUUGCUCUUCACAAUGAGAGGUAGCUCUUUUGUACUUUUUUAAUAAGAUCAUAUUAUACAUGCUCUUUUGCAGUGGUCUAGUGGUUUAGUAUCUUGUUAAUAAAACCAUAUUGUAUAUUUGAAUAGUUUGGAGAUUGUGUUAACUGUAUUUGGUGCAUCUUGAAGUAAUGUUUGUUGUAUCUUAUAUGCUUCCUGAAUCAAAUAUGGAGAGAAGGUAGUAUAUGGAGUUUAUAUUUUCAAGUAUUUUUCACACAAUUGAUUUAUCUGUUCCCUUCAUUGAGGGGAAAACAUGGAAUGAAUUGACUUACACCUCACUUCUUCCUCAAACAUCUUUUGUACCACUUAUUUUCAUAAAAUGAUAAGAAUCUUUUUAGAUUACAACUUCCAGAGGUCUAUGUCACCUUCUUGACAAUCAGGUUUUUAGGAAUAUUUUUACCCAUCAUGCAGAAGUUUUAGACAAAAUCUUGUUCGUGGUUGCUGCUAGAUGCAUGAUACUGCCUCAUUUCCUUUGUGGUGGUUCUUCGCUCUCCCCCUUCUUAGUAUUUUUGGUUGUUGAGUCUUGGAGGCAGUUGUAUUCAGUAAUGGCUGGCUUGCUUUGAUGCAUUGCUUCUGUAUAUCUUUGUAGAAAACGAAUCUGUAUCUAUUAUUAACACAAAUUUGAUUAGUUCAUGCCAAUGGAUUUGUAAAGUUAAAUUAGUUAUUGGCGUUAGAAAUUUACUCUUAUGCCUGGAAGGAGAUCUGGCUUACAGAUCAACUACUGGAGUUAAUUGUGGAAAUUUGUUUGAUUUGGUUUCUUAUAAAAUUGUUACCCUGUUCUAUUUAUGUUGGAGUAGCUGAAAUCUGAGGUUGCAUUUGUCAUUAACAAAUAGAAAUCCAAAAAGAGAGGAAAGUGAUAUCAUCCCCUCCACUUUUUCCUUGGAAUUGCGUACUUCAAACUUUUUUAAUUGUAUAAAUUCAUAUAAGAAAAUUUAUUAUGAUGUUGUAAAACUAUAAAACAUAUGGAUUAUGAUGUAGAAUUUCAUUUUCAUCUAACCUUUUCUUAAUAUAAGUUAAUUAUGUUUAUGCAGAAUAUAAUCUCAAGUUAUAAUUUGAUUUUAGUAAAUUCAUAUAAGAACAUUUUAUUAUUAAAUUAUAUUUAAUAUUAAUUAUUUUAAAUUGUAUAAAUUCAUAUAAGAAAAUUUAUUAUCAAGAAUUUUAUGAAAUUAUAUAUCAUUAUUAAAUUAUAUUUAAUAUUAAUUAUUUUAAAUUAUAUAAAUUCAUAUAAGAAAAUUUAUUAUCACGAAUUUUAUGAAAUUAUAUAUUAUUAUUAAUUAUAUUUAAUAAUAAUUAUUUUAAAUUAUACAAAUUCAUAUAAGAAAAUUUAUUAGUUAUAAUUAUUUUAAAUUUUAUUAAAUCAUAUAUUUUAAUUAAAAUAUUUUUAAUAUUAAUUACUUCAAAUUAUAUUUUAUAGUAUCAUAUAUUAUGAUUUUAGUAAAUUCAUAUAAGAAUUUUGAUUAUUAAGAAUUUUAUUAAAUUAUAUAUUUUAAUUAAAAUAUAUUUAAUAAUAAUAAUGUUAAAUUAUCUUUUAUCGUAUCAUAUAUUAUGAUUUGAGUAAAUUCAUAUAAGAAUAUUAAUUUUUAAGAAUUUUACUAAAUUAUAUAUUUUAAUUAUAAUAUAUUUAAUAAUAAUUAUGUUAAAUUAUAUUUUAUAGUAUCAUAUAUUAUGAUUUGAGUAAAUUCAUAUAAGAUAUUGAUUAUUAAGAAUUUUAUUAAAUUAUAUAUUUUAAUUUAAUAUAUUUAAUAAUUAUUAUGUUAAAUUAUCUUUUAUAGUAUCAUAUAUUAUGAUUUGAGCAAAUUCAUAUAAGAAUAUUAAUUAUUAAUAAUUUUAUUAAAUUAUAUAUUUUAAUUAUAAUAUAUUUAAUAAUAAUUAUGUUUAAAUAUGAUUAAAUUAUUUAUUAUUGAUAUUAUUAAUCUUAUUAAAAUUUAAAUAACAAUAACAAUAAUCAUUUACCCAAACAAAUUUAUGCUAAUGGUAUUCUAGUCAUUUUAGUUUUUUUCCAUUAUGCUAUUACACCUCUAUUCCAUUCAACCAAACACAAGAAUACUAUUACGCCUCUAUUCCAUUACGCCUCUAUUCCAUUCAACCAAACAAUUGAUUUGCUAUUACGCCUCUAUUCCAUUACACCUCUAUUCCAUUACGCCUCUAUUCCAAUACAGCGAACCAAACGUGCUGUAAGUGUUUACCAACCUUCUUUUAGUUAAAUUAUGCAAGCCUAAAAUUUUCAGCUUUAUUUGAGUACGUUUUCUAUGUCUAAUUCAAGUUUUAUUAUUAAGGACUAAAUUGUAACUUAAACAAAUUAGAAUACCAAUUUAAAGAGACAAAAUUCAAAACCCCAAAACCCACACGGGCAUGUGGGUAAGUGGCACGGGCCAGUGGAGACUGGAGCUAUCACAUAAGGCGAGUGAGAUUGAAACAUAUGAAAUAAAUUAAUCCACUUAAUUUUCCAACAACCAUGCUAUACUACCAAACCAAAUAACGAGUGAAGCUUUGAAUAGGGGCGAAUCUAAAAAAAAAAUUAGAAGAAUUAGAAUUAAAUUAUAAAAUUUUGAGAAGUUAUCAUGUAUUAAUUUAUUAUUUUUUUAAAGGGUCCUAAUAGAAUUUUUUUCCCAUUCUGGUUGGGCCAAUACCUUUGACUGCCUCUUUAAAUUUGCUUCAACCCUAAACCCAAUAUUCGAUUUGGAUUAACAACAAUAUAUAGGUUUGUAUUUGUGGGAGUUUGACGAAUAAAAAUUUCUAUUUAAAAGGUUUAAAUUAUAAAUUUUUGAAAGUUUAAAAUAAAUUUGUAUUUUUUAUUAACAAAAUAUAAAAGAAAAAAAACAUGUUUAGACAAGACAAGAAACCUUGGGAUCAUACGGGUGAUUUUGAUGAUGUUAAUGGUUAUUUUGGUGGAGAGGGUAAACACGAAACAAAUGAUUCAUUAUAUAUAAUAUAAUUAUGAAAUUCAAGCCAUAUAUUGUACUUUUGGUUUUUCUGCAAUAUGAUACAUGUAUUUGGUAAAAAGUUAUAUAUUUUGAUACUUAAAAGUAACAUUGUUAAUUUUUUUAGUGCUUAAUCUGAAUUUUAGAGUUUAUUUAAUGAACAUUAAUUGUUAAUAUUGUUAUGUUUAUUUUUUUAUGAUUUUGUUAAUAAAAUAAAUUUUAUGUUUAUCUUGUUAUCUUUUUUAUUUUAGAAUUGAUUACAUGAAAGUUAAUUGCUAAUAUUAUUAGUUAACUAUUAGUUUUCUUCAAAUCAAAUUAAAACCCGAAAGAUCCCACUUUUUUUUUAUAUUAGUUUUAGUUAUCCAUUAAAUUUGUUUCUUUGUAAUAAAAUUAAAUUAUAGAAAUAACAUUAAAAUUUUAAAUAAAAUUAAUUCACAAUAAUUAUACAGAAUUUAAUUUUCUUUCAAAUACUGCAGUUAAUAAGGAAAGUGAAUAUAGUAAAAAGAAAUAUUGUUUAAUUAGUUAAUUUAAAAAUCAAUAGCGUCUAAAAACUGUCAGAAUGGAAUAUUAGAUUUUAUAAGAUUUCAUUAUUCUAAAAAAUAAAAUAUGACAAUGCUUAAAAAUUUUAUCAAAAAAGUUUUAAAUUUUAUAUAAAAUUUUAAAAAAUAAAAAAACAGUAUUAAAAAUUUUUAUAAGCAAAUUAAAUAUUAAUUAGUAAAUUAUUUUUGUAAUAUUUAUAUGUAUUUUCAUUUUUAUAAAUACUAUUAAAACUUUUUUUAAAAAAAUUGAAUGCUAUGUAAAAACAUUAUUAAAAAUAAAAUAUUAUAUGAAAGUUAAAAUGAUGUAAAAACAUAUUUUCAGUGUUGGCGUUGCUCGUUCGUAAAUGGGUUAGUUUCCGUUUUGAUGUGUUUUUACGUGGAUAGUAAAAGAAAUGUGUUAAUUUUUGGAUUAUGGAGUUGAUCGUUUUUAAUCAAUUCUCCAGUAAGUUGACUCGUUUGUUGUUGUUAUGUGCUAGGAUAAGAGAUUAAUUCUGAUUUGGGCCUGUGUGGUUGUGUAGAUUUUCCAUGUGAAAUCGUUUGGUAUUUUUAGGAUAAAUCAUUCUUUAAAUCGUAUUGCUACCAUCGCGAAUGUGAUGUUUUAAUUUAUGCAUUUAGGAUCUGGUAGUCUUAUAGGUGUUUUCGCAUAAAAAAUUGAACCAUGUGUGUAACGAAAGCUAAAAAAUUGCACUGUUGACGCCACACGGCCAUGUGACAAGUCGUGUGCUGGAUCAUGUGUAACACACGAUUUGAGCUAGUUGAGCCAUGUGGAAAACAAAGGUGUGUGUGAAGGCGUGUGCCACACCAUGUGGGCCACACAGGCUGGCCAUUUAGGCCGUAUGGGACCAAAAUUCUAAUUUUUUUCCUAGGGUUAUACACAGUGUGUAUACUUGUCUUUGAAUUGAAAAAUUCUAAACAACUCUAAAUAAAUGGAAAGCAGCAAAUUACCUGACGAGGCAAGCUAGGUCAAUUACGACCAUUGUGUUAUUCUUGUCUCUGAAUUGAAAAUUUUAGAAGAAACUAAAGAGAAAGUGUUAGAAAAUAAUUGAAAACAGAUAAAACUUAUGUCUCAUUGAUUGGAUAAACUACGAUCACCCAUAAUAGACCUUGUACUUGACUUUUUGUUUAGGGAGAUUGACUCUUUUAGGAGAAGUCUUUUGAGUGUUGUUUGCUAGGCAAUCGGUGCUGCCCUCAACAACUAAUGGUAGUGUCCCCAUGUUGGGAUUUUAUCCCCAGCCUCUGCGGAAUAAUCAUUGAGGAUAUGUGCGUAGGGAUUCAAACUACCAAUCAAUGCAUGUGUAGCCUUUACCUUGCAACCAUCUCCAUGAACCCAUAGGGUUCUUAGCGGGAUCAAGAGACGAAACCCUAAUGUGGGAACAAUACCAUUUGUUGAAGGCUUUGUUAAUAGGGUCACACCUAGGGGAGUUGGCAGGGGUCCCAACCCCCCUUAAAAUGAAAAAUUUUCCAUUUAGGCCCUUUAAAAUUUUUAAAAUUUUAAAUUAAUAAAAGUAAAAUUGUACUUUGGCCCCCCAAAAAGUGAUAAAACUUCGAUUUAGUCCUCUAAAAAUUAUAAAAUAUAGGCUAUUAAAAUGGUGAAAUUGCAUUUUUACUAUCAUAAAAAUUAUAAUUUAAUUUCACCCCCUAAAAAGAUUUUCUGGCUUCGCCCCAAAUAAAAUCUUUGCCAAAAGAUUAAAAUAAAAUUAUACCGUAAAUGAAAAAAUAAACUAAGAAAAUCCAAUCUAACAAAGAAAAUAACUUGAUGUCCAAAAGCUACCAUGAACCGUAAUUCAUGGGAAGUCUUGUUGCUCAUUUUAUUGGUUUCCAUUUUGAUUUUGCAAAAUAAGUUUGAAUUUUGAAGAGAGCCUACUACGUGAGAGCAAAAGAAAAAAAUUCUAUAAAGAUUUUGAAUUUUGAAUUUUGAAUUUUGAAUUUUGAAUUUUGAAUUUUGAAGCAGAUUUUCAUUAAGAUUGAAGAUUCCUAAUUGAUUUCUUAGGAGAUUAUCAUGAGUUCCUUAUUUCUUUCAGUUAUAUUGCCCUUUGGAUUUUUUAUUUUUAAUCAUGAACUACUUUUCUAAAUACGUAAGAGAGAUGAACCCUAUGAUAGAUUGUGACACCCCAAAGCUGACCGGGAUAGACCGGCCUGAAUUCAAAGCAUUACAUUAGCCACCUAAGGACCACUCAAGACACACCCCGACCUUAUAACACCUCAAUCUUAUCUAAUUACUAGUUAUUUAUUAAUGCCGAAGUAAAUUAUGAGCCAAUUUUAAAGUUUUCCUAGGUAAUUUAACCUAAGGGCAUUUACAUCAUUUUAUGACCUAUGGUAAAACUAACCUAGAAAUACCGAAAACAUUCCAAAAUAAUAUAAAAAAAAAGCUAAGAAAAACCUAGAAAUACAAAAAAAAAUUCAUGUUUUUACAAAUUGGGAAAUACCUAAAUUUGUUUUUAUCAAUUAAGAAAUUAAAAAAAUUGUUGAGAAAUAUCUUUUUAGUGAUUGUUAGCUUUGACAAGUUCUCUCCACCACUUCUCUUACGCUCCUUCCAGGAUCUUGCUUUUUGUGUGUUGAAAACUCAAAUGAACAAAAUAAAGUGAAUUUACGAGUUUUGUUUUCUUUUAAAAAUAUUUUUAAUAUUUUUGUGGAUACCAAGAGAUACCAAAAAUUAUUUCACUAAGAAGUUUUAAUUCACUCGAAAAGUUAGUGUUUUAUUUCAAGGGGUCAUAAUUAAUCAUUAGAUUUCUCAAUUUUAAAUUUUGAAUUUUUGACAAUUGUGUAAUUAAUAAGUACCAAUUUUGAGUGGUGUAGGGCUAGUACAAUCUCCCUUACACAUAACCGACUCUUGAUCUAAUAAAUAUUUAUCCUUAUACUUUGAUCUAAAUAUUUUGAUGUAAUCAAUGUAAAAAACCUUUUAAACAAAAUAAGGUUGAAAUAAUCUAUUUGUCUUUAUACUUUGAUAAAAUUUGGGAUUUAGUCCUCAUACCUAAUGUUGACACCAUUUUUUUGUGAAAACGGGGUUGACUUGGAUUUUGUAAACGAAAACGAAAACGGGGGUCGCCACCAAUUCUUUUUGAUAAGGUGUGAUCGGGCCACCUUGAAAAGUGGUUGUUUUUAAUAAACAAUUUAAUUUUAUGAAAACAACGAUUUUGGUCCACGAAAUUCAGAAAAACAGGUUCGGGAGUCGGUUACGUACGAGGAAGGAUUAGCACCCUCAUAACGCCCAAAAUUGGUACCUAGUUGAUUAAUUAAUGUCUUAGUGUAGAAGAUUGAAAACUCUAAAGAGAUUUAAAACACGAUCCUUUACUGAAAUGAUAAAAAUUUUCGGCAAAAAGGGCAUAUUUCACAUUAAUCGAGAAAGAGAAUUAUAUCCAAUAAGUUAGAACACAAUGUCUUGAAUUCCGAUGCGCGAAUGAAUACCAAAAAUUUACUUAUUUAAAAGAUAUUUAACUAUCUCGGAUUUAAAAAAGGGAUCAUGCCCAGUAAGUUAGGACACGAUCUUUUCUUAAUUCCCGAGAUCGUUUAAAACUUGAGAAAAAAGGGAUCAUGCCCAGUAAGUUAGGACAUGAUCUCUUCUUAAUUCCCGAGAUCGUUUUAAACUUGAGUUUGAAAAGAUUCGUGUAUUUAAAUUUAUUGUGAAAAUUGAAACCCCGUAAGUUAGGGUACGACCUUCUCGAAUCUAAACAUGAGAUUUUGCUUAUUCAAAAAAUCAUAAUUUAUGCAUUGAAUAAAAUUAAUCUAACACGAAAUAGUAGAAAUGCAACACGGUGUCAAUAUGUGUAACAAGACAAAAAUGAAUAUGAUAAUGUAAGCAUAAAUAGUACGAACGACAUCGUAAAUGAGAUAAAUAAUAGGAGAGACAAAUCCAUCAUAUCACAACAAAUAAAUAAAUGCAAUAUUAAGACAUUCUUUUCAAAUGAUAAUGAACAUAUACGCAAAUAAACAAAUUAACAUCGAGUGAAACAAAAAUGCAAUAACGAAAUUAAUAAAACUAUAAAAAGUAUAAAAAUAUGUGUGUAUGUACGUGUAGGUAUGCAUUAUAAAAAUAUAUGUGCAUAUAUAUAUAUAUAUAUUUGAAAUUACAAAAUAUAAAAGAUAUAUAUAGGUAUGUAUAUGUAUGAGUUAUAAAAUAUAUGUAUGUAUAUGUGUACAUAACUAAAUUUGAAAUAAAUAGAUAUAGAUAAACAUAAUAAUAAUAUAGUAAGACAGAUAUAUUUAAUAUUUAAAUAAGUGAACAUAAUAAAUGGGAGUAUAAUAAAUAAUAAUAAUAAUGCAAAGCUAGUAAUAUGAUAUAAUGAUAUAAUAUUAAUGACUAAGUAAAUAUAAGAAGAAAAUAUUAAUAGAUAAUGUAACAACCCGGUUUUGACCCUAAUCGGAAUAGUGGUUUCGGGACCACAAAUCCGAACUAGAAAAAUAUUAUUAAUAUUAUUUAGUGUGUUUAUAUUGUGUGCAUUUGAAUGUGUGAAAUUUUCGUGUUUUAAUUUCAUCGUUUAAGUGUCCGAUUUAAUAAAAGGGUUUAAUCGCGUAAAAUGAAAAAUUAGGGGUUAAUUAUAAAAGCACCUAAUUGUUGUUGGCUUUAUAAUUUAGAGGUUUUACUAUGAAAUUAGUCCACUAUAUAAGUUAGUGGGUGGCAAAAGACUAAUGUAACCUUAUUAUAUAUGUUUUAUAUAUAUAUUAGUAAAGGUUAAAAUAGUAAAUUAAUUAUAAAGUUAAUAUAUGUUUAAUAUAACAAAUUAAAUGGCUAUGUUCUUCAUCUUUUGGCCGAAUGGGUGAGAAAAUAAAAGGGGUUUAAAGCUUUUUGUAUUUCGGCAGAUUCAAGCUUUGAUUUAGGUAUGUUUUUGCUUCGGUUUUUGAUGAUUUUUACGUUUUUGAGAUCGUUGCUUUGAAUACUUCAAAACCCAUGUCUUAAUUUUGUGAAUUGAUGAAUAUUUUGAAUUAUGUCAUUGAUGAAUAUUUGUGUUUUGGGAUGUUUGAUGAUGAAUAAUGGAAGAUAUGUCUUAGAUUAACAUGUUUUGUAUUGGUAUUUUUGAUGAAUUUGAGUAUUUAGGGCUAAAUUGUGAAAAUAAAUUUUUGAGGGAUUAAAAUGUGAAAUAAAUGCAAUGUGUGGACUUGUAUGAGAACCAUGAAUAUUCGGCCCUUGUGUGGUAUGGGCAAAUUUUGUGUAUUUUGUGUUUUGUGCAAAAAGGACUAAAUUGCAAAAAGUGCAAAAUGUUAGGGGCAAAAUGGUAAUUUUCACAUUUAUGUAUUGAUGGACUCAAAUGAAUGUUUUGAUGAAUAAGAAGGUUAAAUUUGACUAUGUUUAGAUCAAGGAACGAAGAAAACGAAUUUGGAUCGGGGGAAGUCGAAAGUAAUCGAAUAGUCGAUCGUGUUUGCUGAUAUCCGAGGUAAGUCUAUUAGCAACUAAAAGUUAUUAAGUUAAUAUUUAUACAUGCAUACUAAUUUUAUCUUAUGAUUGAGCUAUAAUUUAAAGUAUAAAAGUUGAAUAAACUUUGGACUAUAGAUAUUGUAUAUAACAUGUUCGAAUAUACAAGUAUGAUCUUGUAUAAAUUAUUGGAUUAAUCAAAGAUAUGUAUAAGAUAUAUGUAUAUACAUAUAAGGUUUGAAUGAUUAUAUGAGUAUGUAUAUAUAUGUAUAAACUCUUGGAUUUGAUUUGUGAUAUGUAAUUUAUAAUUGUAUAUAUAUAUAUAUAAAGUCGAAUAAGCAUGCAAUUAUACAUGUAUGUGUUGUGUAUUGAAUUUAGAUAUGUCAUUAUAUAAGUAUAUGAGGAUUGAUUGUGAAUUUAUAUAUGUAUAAGUUUUUGUUUUGAAAUUAAGUAUGAAAUUAUACAUUCAUAUGGUAGAUUCGAAUAUGUAUAAAUGCACAUGUAUAAUUUCUUGAAUUGAAAUUAGGUAUGGAAUUAUAUAUGUAUGUGAAAGUUUCGAUUUGUAUGUAUAUUCACGUAAAAUUUUUUGAAUGGAAGUGAAGAUAUGAAAUUAUUAGUUUGGAUCAUUAUAAAGUGAUUGAAUGUAAUACAGACGUUACGUCUAGCAGGCUUGAUGCCGGUGAAGUAAUUCAGACUUUAAGUCUAGCAGGCUUAAUGCCGGUGAUACAUUUCAGACUAUAUGUCCAGCAGGCUAAGUGCCGGUGUACUGAAUCAGGCUUUAAGCCUAGCAGGCAAAAUGCUAGUGAAUCUUUUUAAAUUAUGUGAGAAUAUGCAAUUGAUAUAUCUAUGAUUUUGAUUAUACGAAAUAGAUGAAUACAUGAACAUUCGGUUUUUUUUUAUAUGCCUGGUGAGCUUACACCUACAUUCGGGUUUUAUAUUGGUUAAACAUAAUUGUAUGGAUUCGGUAUAUACAAUUAAUAAAGGCAUAUGUACAUUAGGUAUAUGCGAUUGCUGAAAUUAUAAAUGCAUAUGGUGAUAUGUGAUUGUUAAAUAUACACGUUGAGCCUAUGUGUUCGAUAAUUAAUUAUGUAUGCAAUUGAGAUAUGUAUAUAUAUACAUGUACUCAUUUAUAGGUAUAUAUAUUCGAAUGUAUAUACUAGCUAUGUAUUCAGGUAUAAAUCCAUAAUGAGUAUAUAUAUAUACAAACGAAUAUAAAAUGUGAUUGAUACAUAUGUGUUAGAUUCGAAUUGAUUUAAAGUUUACCAUGAGUAUACAUACACAUUCGGUUAAGAUAUGUGUAUAAUAUAUAUAUAUGCUCGAUUGUAUACAUUGGGUUGUAAUGUUGUUUUGUAUAAUAUAUAUUCAAUUGAUUUCAUUCGACAGGUAUACAUAUCUGACUAUAAAUAAAAUGGUCUGAGUACAAUAAUGUAUGAAUGUUAGUUGGUCGUGUUAGUUGAAAUUUCAGUAAAAUAGAUUAAAAGGUUAUAUUAAUUAUGUGUUUAUAUAUACAUUUAGUUAUGCUGUAGACUUACUAAGCUAUAAAAGCUUACUUCAUUUGUUUUCGUUCAUUUGUUUUUAUAGAUUUUGGAGACGCGUUACGAGCUCGGGGAUCAUCAGCAUAGUCCAUCACACUAUCGACUUCUUUUGGUAUUUUGUUAAAUAUUUGAACUCGAUCUUAUGGCAUGUAUAGGCUUGAUAAUGUUUUGGUUAGUUUUGGAUCCUAAUAUGUAAAUAGUCAUGCGAAAAGGGUUUAAUUUCCAUGCUUGAAUUUGACUACAUAUGAUCAUGAUUUGGGCUUGCAUUUGAAUGAGAUAUUCAAGUUACAUGUAUGUUAUAAAUUUUGGAUUAUGUUAGGUAUUAAAGUCAUGUUUAUGUGUGCUUUGUUUCGUAAUGCCUCGUAACCCUAAUUCGGCGACGGAGACGGGUUAGGGGUGUUACAGAUAAUAGCUAGGUUAAUAAAAAAAACAAAAUGGACUAAUUCAUGAUAAAAAUUAAAUUUAAAGGUUCAAUCUAUAAUAAAAUAAAUAAAGUGGGUCCAAAAUGAAAAGGCACGAAAGGGCGGAGGGCCAAAUGAGCAAUAAACCCAAAUUCCAGGCCACGCCCAGGGGUCCAACGAAUUGAGGAACGAAUUGAAAACCGCAACAAACCUACGGUCCAAAUUACAAAACGAGGGAAAAAAGAAAAGGAACUAAAUCAAAACAAAUCGAUAAUGCGGAGGGGCCAAAGGAGCAAAUAACCCAACACUUAACAAUGCACGGAUCCUCUGGUCGGGUCGAGUCGACGAGUGGAUCUGGGGGGCAAAACGACGCCGUUUUGGUACCUGGGAGGCCUGCCCAAAACGACGUCGUUUUAGGGCCUAUAUAAGUAAAAAAACAUAAACAAAAAAAUCAUUUUAAAUCCAUUUCAGAAAAAAAAAACUUUCCCUUUUUUAUUUUCUCUCUAGCCCCACUCCCUUCGAUCCAGACUCCGACCGAUGGCCGUCGCACCGCCCACCGACCACCGGCGACGGUGCCGCCCACUGACCACCGAUGACGGCGCCGUCGUGCACAGUUGUCGGAAAGUUCAAAACCCCUUUUUCUCUUCUCUUUUCGAGUAAAGUACCUAUUUGGGUUUAAGACAUCCCAAAAGUCCUUCAAAAUAAAAAAAGAAAGAGAGAAAAAUCUAGAGACCUUUCGGUUUCUCAUCACCGCCGAUGGAGUUUUUGGCGAACCCGUUGGUUUGACCACCCCAAGACCGGAGGUACCUCCGUCCGCGGCAAUAAAGGUAAUAGAUUUCUCUUUUUAUUUACUAUUAUAUUUAUUUUCGAAAUAAAUAAAUAAAUAAAAAUAUAAAAGAGGCACCUUUGUUUUUUCCAAAUCUGUUUCAAACUUUUUUAUUUUCGAAAAAAUCCCAAAAAUCCCCAUGAUUACAUUGAAUUUGUGGCUUUUAUAGCCCAAUGCAUAUUUUCUUUUUUCUUUUUGUUUAUCACUGCUUCUCUGCUAUUUGUGCUGUUGUUGCGUGUUUUUUUCAUGUUUUGCAGGUCUUGACGGAGCAGGUGGGCAGGUGGCAGAGCAAGUGGCGGUGGGUGGUGUCAGAGGUGGCAGAGGCAGAAGGUGACGCCAGAAGAUAGGAACCCCUAGGUGUGGCGCACCUAGGGUUUGACAUUGUUGUUUUUUAUUUGAUUUUUUGGGCUAGGUUUAGACAGUUGGGCCUGUGCAUUUUGCUUCGGGUUUGGGUUUAAUCUCGUUGGGCCGGGUGUAAUUGUGUUAGUUAGGCCGGGGCAUAAAUUGGUUAUUACACCUAAAAGGUUAAAAAUUAAGUCUUCUUAUUUUUUUUUAAAUCUUAGUCCUACCGUUAAUUUUUUUUUGUCAAAAUUUGUUAACUUGACAUAUUAAUUAGGUUUUCCUUAUAUGUCGUGGUAUAUGACCAACACAAAAUUAAACAAGUUGACAAGUUCUGACAAAAAAUAUCAAAGAUGAUAAUAAUUUAAUUAAAAUUUUUAAAUUGAAAAAGUAAGGGAUUAAAUUUAUAACUUUUGAAGUGUAAAGAAUGAACUUAUUGAAAUACAAGAACUAACAACACAUUUUAAAAUAUUACUAGUAAAUUAUAUAUCUACAACGUAAGCUCUUAUAUUAUAUUCUUGUAUCUAUUUUGUAUCUUUCAUUAUAAUAUGAUUUAUUAAUUUUAAUAUUUUUAUAGAAUAAUAUGCUUUAAACUAUUUUUUGUAUAAUUUAUAAAAAUUAUAAUAAACUUGCAAAAUGAUUUAAUGAUAUUUAAUUAUUAAUGGAAAAAAAAAUGAUAACAUAUAUAUUCUGUAUAUAUUAAGAUUUUGAGUCAUUAAUUAUAUAUCUACACAUUAUAAUAAAUUCAUCUUUCAAAAUGUUCCUUAUAAUUAAAGCAUAAAUUAUAUUUAUAAUAUUAUAAAUAUAUUAUAUCAUAAAUAUUCUUUCAAAUAUUUUUUAAUGUUUAAUAAUAAGUUAAUUUAUAAAAUAUUCUUUCAAUAAAUUAACGUGAUGCGAUCGUUAGGUGCUUGGAUUUGGUGAUGGGGGAUGAAGAGAAAAGGGAUGGAAGUGAAGAAAAAUGUUGAGAAAUGGAAAGGGUUAGCAAGGGAAGCUGCCAUGAAAGUUGGUUCUAUGGAUAUGAACCUUCAAGCUUUUGUGGAUGAUGUUACUCAAGGUUGUUGGAAGUAAAUUUUAAAAAAAUUGAGGUAAAAUUAAAAAAAUGUUAGAGCUAAAUUUGUCAUUAUGACUAAAAUGUAAAACCAAAAUUUUUUGAAAAUAAAAAAAAAUGGAAAAUAACAAAUUCUGUCACUCAUGUUUGCUUAAAAUAUAGUUUUGGUCACCAAUCUUUUGAAGUAAAUAUAUGGUCACCAAUAUUAUCCAUUUGUUACUCUGCAAUAACUCACCUCUAUGAAAUUUGGCAGGCCGUGUCAAUUUUGUAGAUUUGCGCUCUGAACUGUGAAAAAAAUGCAAAUUUUAGGUUAUUCAAGCAUUUUAAUACGUAUAUAUGAAAAAAAGAAGAAGAUAGGAGAGAACCUUCCUAGAAUAUUUAAGAAAAUAGCUCCAAAGACACUAUUGAAGUCAACUUUGAAGCAAAUUUUCAUCAAGAUUGAAGAUUCCCAGUUGAUUUCUAAAGAGAUUAUCAUGAGUUUCUUUAUUUCUUUCGGUUAUACUGCCCUUUGGAUGUUUUUAUUUUUAAGCAUGAACUAAUUUUCUAAAUACCUAAGAGAGAUGAAUCCUAUGGUAGAUUGUGGCACCCCAAACCCAAUCGGGAUAGACCGGCCCGAAUUCGAAGCAUUACACUAGCCACCUAAGUGACUCUCCAGCUAACGACCACCCAAGACACACCCUGACCUUAUAACACCUCAAUCUUGUUUAAUUAUUAGUUAUUUAUUAUUGCAUAAAUAAAUUAUGAGCCAAUUUUAAACUUUUCCUAUGUAAUUUAACCUAAGGGCAAUUUUGUCAUUUUACCACCUAUUGUAAAACUAACUCGAUUUUAGAAGUUUUUACCAACCUUAUUUUAGUCAAAUUAUACAAGCCUAAAUUUUUUAGCUUAAUUUGAGUUUGUUUACUAUGUCUAAUUCAAGUUUUAUUAUUAAGGACUAAAUUGUAACUUAAACAAAUUAGAAUAUCAAUUUAAAGAGAAAAAAUUCAAAACCCAAAAACCCACACGGGCAUGUGGGUAAGUGACACGGGCGUGUGGAGACUGGAGCUAUCACACACGGGUGAGUGGGAUUGAAAAAUAUGAAAUAAAUUAAUCCACUUAAUUUUCCAACAACCAUGCUAUACUACCAAACCAAAUAACGCUUGAAGCUUUGAAUAGGGGUGAAUCUUAAAAAAAUUAAAAGAAUUAGAAUUAAAUUAUAAAAUUUGAGAAGUUAUCAUGUAUUAAUUUAUAAUUUUCUAAAGGGUCUUAAUAGAAUUUUUUUUUUCCCAUUUUGGUUGGGCCAAUACCCCUACCUCUUUAAAUUUGCUUCAAUCCUAAACCCAAUAUUCGAUUUGUUGUGGAAGUUUGAUGCAUAAAAUUUCUUUUUUUAGAGGUUUAAAUUAUAUAUUAUUGAAAGUUUAAAAUAAAUUUGUAUUUUUUAUUAACAAAAUAUAAAACAAAAAAACAUUUUUAGACAAACCAAGGAACCUUUGGGAUCAUACGGAUGAUUUGGUGAUGUUAAUGGUUAUUUUGGUGGAGACAAGCCAAGAAAAGAAACAAAUGAUUCAUUAUAUACAAUAUAAUUAUCAAAAUUCAAGCCAUAUAUUGUCUGUUUCAUCCAUAAAAAUUUCAUGGGAGGUCCAAAGGUAAUUAAAUGACUUGUAGGCUUGCUGAAUUUCUUUGAAAGGCCCAAAGGCAAUUUAACACUCACAAAAUAAUCUCUAAAUACUGUAAAGACAAAUCAAAUCCACAGCAGCAUUAGAGUUGAUUAAGCUAAGCAUUGGCAAAUAUUACUUUGAUUUUGCAUGCAAUAUCGGCAAAACCCCCCUCUUACAUUAGAAAAAACAACAUAAUCCAUGUAACAUUGAUAGCCCAAUACAAAUUUCAUCAAGAAAAAAGUCUCUUUGUUUUGUAGAACAUGAUAGUAAAGAUGUGGAGUUUCAUUCUUCUUAUUGGCCUCCUUUAGUUUUCCUUGAUCAACAACCACUAGCCAAAAACACAAUUAGAUUAGAUUAUGAAUGAUACUUUCAACUAUGACAAUAUUAAAUACAAAACACUCCAAAUAACUCUAAAUAAAUGGAAAGCAGCAAAUUACCUGACGAGGCAAGCUAGCUUAAUUAAGACCAUUGUAUUAUACUUGUCUCUGAAUUGAAAAAUUUAGAAGAAAAUAGAGAAAAAGACUUAGAAAAUACUUGAAAACAGAUAAAACUUAUAUGUCAUUUAAAAUAAAAAAAAAUUAUUUAAGCUGUUUAAAAUUUUUAAGAUUUUUAAAAUUUUAAAAUGAUAAAGGUAAAUUGUACUUUGGCACCCCUAGAAAUGAUAAAACUUUGAUUUAAUCCUUUAAAAAUUAUAAAAAUAUAGGCUAUUAAAAUGAUGAAAUUAUAUUUUUACUAUAGUAAAAAUUACAAUUUAAUUUCACCCCCUAAAAAGAUUUUCUGGCUUCGCCCCUAAUAAAAUAUUUGGCAAAAGAUUAAAAUAAAAUUAUACCGUAAUUGAAAAAAGAAACUAAAAAAAUCCAAUCUAACAAAGAAAAUAACUUGAUGUCCAAAAGCUACCAUAAAUCGUAAUUCAUGGGAAGGCUUGUUGCUCAUUUUAUUGGUUUCCAUUUUGAUUUUGCAAAAGAAGUUUGAAUUUUGACGAAUACCGACAUAUUAUAUAUAUGACUAAAAUUCCAGAAUAGGUUAAAAAUGUUGAAUUAAAGAUGAAAUUAAGUGUGAAUUAAUAACCACAAGUGUACUCAUUACUCACCAUCUCUGUUAAAAAUGUUGGAUGUUGUUUAGCAACCUUUGUUUGAUUUUCUUCAGCUCAACCACAACAUCUUUCAUAUCUUUUCUUUCUUCUGGUAACUCAGCUGAACAAUUCAAAGCCAACUCCAUGAUAGAUGAAAUACAAUUUGCUUUAACAACAAUGUACUCAUCCUCUCUUCUUAGUAAAUCAACAUCUGCAAUUUCUAUCGCUCCUUUAGGCAAUGAACUUUCCAUCCAAUGCCUUAUAGUCUCUUCUUCAACAAAAACAUUAUCAGAUGGCUUUUUCUUUGUGAAAGUUUCUAUAAGGACGAUCCCAUAACUAUAGACGUCAGAUUUUAUAGAAACAAUUCCUGCUGAUCCAAAUUCUGCAUUUCAAGUAUAAUUAGAACAUCAUUCAUCCUCAAUUAUUUCUAAAAUGCUUAUUCUAAUAUCUAUCCAUAUACACAUGAAACAAAAAUAUAAAAUUCAAAUUAGGAAAAUAAUCAUACAAAAAUAAAAAAGAAUUCACCUGGUGCCAUAUACCCGAUAGUUGCAAGAGUCAUGGUUUGCUUCAUUACUUCACCUUCUCCCAACAAUUUGGCAACGCCAAAAUCUCCAACAUGUGCAACCAUGUCUUCAUCUAGUAAAAUAUUGCUUGGCUUUAUGUCACAAUGAAUUAUAGGUGUUGGAUGUCCAUUGUGGAGGUGUUCUAUAGCUAACGCAACAUCUAUCAUUAUGUCGACCCUUUGUAUGAUAUCAAGGAAACAAUUUUCAGAAUGUAACCAUUUCUCAAGGUUUCCAUUAGACAUGUAAUCAAGCACCAAGGCUUUGAAGUCAACACUUGAGCAGCAAGUAAUGACCUUCACAAUAUUACGAUGAACUAUAUUAAGCAUAGCAUCACAUUCAAUGUCAAAACUCCUAAAUGCUCCCUCUGUUUGCAAAUUGAAAACUUUUAUUGCAACUUCCAUUCCAUCUGAAAGCCUCCCUUUAUAUACAUAUCCAAAACUCCCUGAACCAAGCAUAUUGCUUUCCUCAAAUCCAUUAGUUGCUCGUGAAAGUUCAGCAUGUGAAAUUCUUCUCGGUGUUUUCAAAGACAACAAAUCAUCUUUAAUUGAUAGAGUUGUACUCCUUCUUUGGCAUCUUCUAUACAUAAUAGUUAAGACUAUUAGUACUACGACAAUGCCAAUUGUUGGUAAACCAUACCUAAAAGCAUGCAAUAUAAUCAUUUGGGAGUUUUUGUGGAUGUCGUUUUUGCAAGGUGGGACUUGCAAUCUAGGUGGACCACAAAGUGCAUAAUUCUUCAUGAAUGAUGUGCUAGAAAAGUUUGAAAAACAUCCUUUGCUGGGAAUUUCCCCUUCAAGUCUAUUGAAAGACACAUUAAAAUACCUUAGAUAUAUAAGUUUUUCCAAAGAUUUGGGAAUGACUCCAGAGAGAUUGUUAUUGCAUAAAUCCAAGAAUUCCAAACUAAUCAAUCCAGCAAAUGAUUCAGGGAUAUGACCAUGUAGUAUAUUAUUUGAUAAAUCUAAUGAAACCAAAGUUAUAAGACCCCCAAAUGUGGAUAAGAUAUCGCCCGUGAGAAGAUUCUUUGAUAAAUUUAGUUUCAGUAGACUCCUCAAAUUUCCAACAUCAAUAGCAUGUGAACUGUGAAGAUGGUUUGAUGAUAAAUCUAUUUCUAAGAUAUCUUUAAGAUUCCACAAAGUUGAGGGUAUUGUAGAACUCAAUCUGUUGGAAGCAAAGUAAAGAUAUCCCAAAGAAGUAAUAUUACCCAAACAAGAGGGUAUGGAUCCAUGCAGCUUAUUCAACCCUAAAAAAAAGUUGUAUAAUCUCUCCAAAUCACAAAGGCUUUCUGAGAUGGGCCCUCCUAAUUUAUUAGAGGAAAGACCUAGACUUUGGAGAUUCCGCAGUCCUCCUAUUGAUGUUGGAAUGAAUCCACUUAAUUUAUUAAAGCCAAGUUCUAAAACCACCAUGUUGCUUAAGUUACCUAUUUCCAUAGGAAUAAUGCCUUGAAGCUCACAAUUAGAGGCAUAAAAGUAUUGAAGGGAUUUUGAAAGGUUCCCAAUAUAAGUAGGAAGAACGUCACUCAAUGGAUUUCCUGAAACAUCUAUUGCGGUCAAAUUCCUACAAUUCGUCAAAGAAGAAAGAAAGCUCCACUCAUGAUCAGUAGCAGAUCCUGUGAUCAAAUUAUUGUCAUUGAUUUUGAGCACUUCAAGGUGUUUUAAGUUGCCAAGCAUUUUAGGGAUUGGGCCAGAGAAUAAGUUAUGUGACAAUUCUAGUUGCUUAAGCAUGGAAGCAUUGGAGAUAGAGUUGGGAAUGUUUCCGCUAAGUUUAUUUCUCCACAAUAAAAGAAUCUCAAGCUUUGGAGCAUUGGUGAUGGGUGGUAAAUUACCUGUAAAAUUGCAUCUUUUAGUAUACAUAUUCAUUGAAUACCAAAUUCACAAAAUAUAUAAGACAUUAAAAUAAAAACUGUAAAACUUUAAAUCAAUUAAGAAUAAAAUUUUGGCAUGGAAAAAUGUGAUGAAAUCAAUUAGAAAGUUGAGACAUAAUAAGAAGUUUUGAGUAGUAAUUAGUAAAACAUAUAAUACAUUAAUAAUUUUUAAAAUAUUGUAAAACUUGAAAUAAAAUAAAAAUAAAAGUUUGGCAUGAGAAUGUGGCAUCUAAUCAAUCUUAAAAAUGAGACUCACAUUGAAUAAUAAUUAGUUAUGAUUUGGGAAACAAAAAUGUUAAAGCCAUUGUUUUUAAUGUAAGCUGGUAUGACUUUUAUCUAUUGGGUUAAUUAUUUAUUUUUAUUAAAUUAUAGUGUAAAAUUUAAAUAUUAUUAUUUGCUUAAAUUUUUUGUAUUUUUCGUAUAUUUAAAAUUUAAUCUUUAUAUUUUUAUUUUCUGUGAUUUAGUCCCUCUACUUUUUGAAUUGAAAAUUUUAGGUUUAUUUAUUAACACCGUUAAAAAGUUUUUGUGUUAGUAUGGCAUUUUGAAAACUAAAAUAAACUUGAUAUCUAUGUUUUUAAUUAUUCCAAAUAUUGUUUUACUAUUUCAAGAUAAAUUAUUUGUGUCUAGACCAAUAUCUUAAGAACUAUUGUUGCAUAUUUAAUUAUUCUAAAGAAUUGUCGAUUGAAUCUUAGCUUGAUUGGCAUGUGCAUUGUUGCCAAUGUAGGAGAAUGUGGGUUCAAGCAUGCAUGCUGAAAUGCAUUAUCCUCCUAUUUAUGAAUUGGUAAAGUACUAAAUUUUGAUAUAUUUUAAAAUAUUAAAAAUUUAUUAAAAUAUUUUUUUAUAAAAAUUGAUUGUACCACAAUAUACAAUUUUAAUAUCAAAUUUUUAAUUUUUUUAAAAAAUAUUAGCGAAUAUGUACUUUAUUUCAAGUUACACAAUUUUUACUAGUUUUUAAAUUUUUUUAAUUUUUAUCGUCUUUUAUAAUUUCUAAUAAUUUUUUAUAAUUUUUUACAAUAUUUAACAAUUUCUAAAAUUUUUUAAUAAUUUUAUUAUUUAUUACAAAUUUAAAAAUUAACAAAUUUUUAAUCUUUAAAACAAUUAUAUAUUUAUAAUGUAGUUAUUUUUUUUAUAAUUUUAUUUGAAAUUUUAAAGAUUUUUUUGGUUUGUUUUCUAGAUUAUGAUGCCAUCAUAAUGUCAUCAUAUGCCACAUGGCAAUUUAUGAUUAGUUGGAUAUCUCAAUCUAUUUUUUUAACGUCCAAUGGACUAAGCCAAGAACACCUGACAAUGUUAGAGACUACACUACGAAUGUUUGAUAAUAUUACGUAUUAAAGUGGACAAAAAAAAUUAAGGACCAAAGUUAUAAAAAAAAAAAAAAAACAGCAAUCGGCUGCAGGGAAUAAACUGUGCAUUAAGCCAUUAAAAAUAUAUCUAUAAUAUAUAUAAAUGCAUGGAUUUUGAGAAACAUUUGAACUGAUAAUUACAUAGUCUUUGAUGUUUACUAUAUUAUUGAAUUUGUUAUUUUAAAUAUUUUUUUAUUACUUUUAAGAUUUAUCAUAUGUAUGGAUAAGAAUUUUGGUUUUACUAAAAUAUUUGGUUAAAUAAAUUCAUUUAAUAAGAAAAUUUAGCAUCCUUAUAAAUAACAAUUUUGAUUCUAUUAAAAAUUAUUUUCAAAAAUAUAUAAUAAAAAUUUAAAAUUUAUAUUGAAUUACUUUAUACUUAAAUUAUUAUUAGAAACUUUAUCAUACACAUACGUGUAUGAGAACCAUGUAUUUAGAACAUAAAUUUGUUUUUUAAAGUAACUUAUGAUAAAUAAUGAAAUGUAUAAUUUGAAACUAUUUAAUAAUAACACAUGUCAUAUCUACCAUAUUAAAAUAAAAAUAGAUUAAAUUGUAAGUAAAACAUAAUUUAAACAUAUGAAUACAUCAAAUUAAGAAUACUAAAUGAAUACAGUUAUUUAUGAUGAUGUUGUUGCCAAUUCUUAAGUUGGUGCCGAGUUAAUUUGUGACAUCAUAAAUUUAGGUGAUAAAUUUAAGGUUUUAUGUAUUGAUGUGGAUUCAAAUAUCACCAUAAUUUUUUUAAAUAAAAAACUAAAAUACCCUCAAAUAAUAUAACUUAUAUUAAAUACGAAAGGGUAUUUUUGUAAUUUCUCUAACCGAGUUGGUGCCCGGUUGACUCAUGACACCAACUCAAUCAAAAGCUUCAAUAAUAAUAUAGAUAUUCACGGUAAAAAAAAUUACUUUAGUUCCAAAUAAUUAUAUAACAAGUAAAUUUAUAAUUGACGAAUAAAUUUAUAAAUAAUAUAUUUAUAUGAUCUAAUAUAUUAUAUUUAUAUUAAUUAUAUAUCAUCUACAAACUUUGAAGAUUAAUUUAUUAAGUAUCAAGAAAAGAAAAAAUGAAAUUUAAUUAACACUAAAUCAAUUUUUAGAUUUUGUACAGAUGAUUUAAUGAUGAUAAAAAAAAUAUUAGCACUAUUUUCGAAUUAACAAAAAAUUAGUGAUAUAUUUUAAUUAUAUUUAUUAUUUAUUUUUUAAUAAUUUUUUUAAUUAUAUGAAGUAAAAUUAUAUUGUAUACUAAAAAUGGUACAUAUACUUUAAUUAUACUUGAAAAUUUAUUAUAUAAAUUAAUAUAUUUUAAUUAUAUUUAACCAUUUGAAUAACAAAAUAAAAAAAAACUAAUUAGAAUAAUUUAUUUUUUAAAGUCUAAUGGAAAUUAAAAAAUUAAAAAUAAAGCAGUUCAUAUAAAACUUAUUGUUUAUUAUCAGAUUAAAAUGAUAAAAGUAUAUGACCAAAAUAAAAGAAACAAAUUCAACUCAAUGUUUUUGGAGUUUGGAAAAAAUUAAAGUUAAAAACAUACCUUCUAAUUUGUUGUUAAAUAGAUCUAUUUCUUCGAGCGUAGUCGAAUUAAAAAUACUUGAUGGAAUCUGACCUGCACACAUAGUCGAAAAUUGAAGUAAAAAACAUACCUUCUAAACUGUUCAACUAAAAAUACUUUAAGCAUAUUUUUUAGUAAACUGUGCAACAGGUGAUAUGAGAAUCUAUGUAUAUAAAUGUAUAUGUAUAUAUAUCGUUGUUUCAUUUUGUAAAAUAAAUAUAUUUUCCACAUUGGUUUCUUUUCUUCUACAGACAAAGGAUUUCUAAUGAUUCUUUUUUAUUUUUACUUAUAAAAUAGGUUAGUUUCUGCAAUAAUAAAAACAAUUUCUAAUGAUUAUUGUUGUUACCAGAUAACUAAUUUUCAUUCAAGUAAAGCCCUUCAAGCUUGGGAAAAUGUUGACACAUAUCAUUAGGCAAACUACCUGAUAGGCUAUUGUUGGAGAGAUCAAUGGUCUUCAGAGAAGAAAUGUUCGAGAUCGAAGUUGGAAUCUGACCUGUAAGGCCUUUAAUUUCUUUAAUAUUAAGCAUUUCCAAACUAAGAAGAUUACCAAUUUCCUUAGGAAUUUGACCUGCAGACAGUCAAAAAAUCAAUGUUUUUCAGCAUAUGUUUUUCAUCAAAUGAAAUAAAAAGUUCUUCCUUUUGUUAUCUAUUACAAAUCAAACUCUUUUAUAAAAAAAAAACUUUAAAUUCAAGAAAUCAAGGAAAUUGAUUACCUUCUAGAUUAUUAAACCCUAAAUAUAACUUCUGGAGUCGUGUUAGAUUUCCAAUACUUCUUGGAAUGAUACCCAUAAAUUGAUUAUAGGACAACGACAAAAUUUGAAGGUUGUUGCAUUUGCCCAUGCCAAAUGGAAUGUUACCAGAUAAUUCAUUCAAACUCAAGUAAAGCCCUUCAAGCUUGGGAAGAUGUUGACACAUAUCAUUAGGCAAACUACCUAAUAGGCUAUUGCUGGAGAGAUCAAUAAUCUUCAGAGAAGAAAUCUUGAAGAUGGAAGAUGGAACCUGACCAGAUAAUUGAUUGAAUCCCAAGUUCAAGAUCUCUAGAUUAGACAUGUUAACAAGUGUUUCAGGGAUUGUGCCUGUAAAGUUAUUGUUUUUCAUUUUCAGCCUUCGAACUCUUUGUAAGUUCCCAAGCCAUGAUGGAAUUUCCCCAUUCAGACGGCUGUAGCUUAAUUGAAGGAUCCUCAAACGAUGCAAUUGGCCCAAUUCUUUAGGGAGAUGGCCAUAGAAAUGGUUGCUACUCAAGUCGAGAGAGAGUAGAAAUGAAAGAUUUCCAAGGUGUGGAGGGAUAGUACCCCUAAGAUUCAUGCUUGUAAGAUUCAAAGCUAUAACUCUUUUAAGAAGGAUGCCACAAGAAACACCAAUCCAAUUGCAAACAGAGGUUGAGACUGUCCAAUUGUUUGGCAAGACAUUUUGAGGACCGACGAUGCGAUCCUUAAACUCGAGAAGUGCAAACUGAUCGGAGUUUAGAUUCCUGACUGUCAUAGCCAAGCAAAGUACGAAACAUGGUAUGAAUAAAGCUAAAAGAAGAUGAAAGCAAGUGUUGUAGUUCAUGAUUGCAAGACGGAAUAAGCCAAGAAAAUAAAAAAAAGUAGGAAAAGGGAAGUUGAGUUGAUAAAAUAGUUUGGAUGAUGAAGAAAAGCCCUGAGAGCAUGCUUUAAUAUGUUUCAAUCAUCGCACACUUGAUAAACUUGAUAAAUUUAAGACUACCCUAAAAAUUAAAAAGGAAAGCAAAGUUUUGAAGAAAUUUCAAAAUAAAUGUCAAGUCUUCUUCUUUUAAAAAUACGUACAAAGAAGCGAAUUUUCAAAAUUUCUACUAAAUUUUCUUCACAUUACUCCACAUAAUCCAUUAAAAAAACUUCAAAAAAAAAUAUUUUAUUAAUUACUAUAUAUUCUUUUAUUUUCAGAAUAAUAAUUGUUUAAAAUAUGCUAUUAGUCCCUGUAAUUUUAAAGUUAAAAAAAAUCCAAUCCUCCUAUUUUUCUAAUUUAAAAAUUCUAGUCCAAUCAUUUUUAAUUCCAUUAAAAAAUUUCACCUUAAUAGGUUUUUUGAUUAUCAAUCGUAUGCAACAUUAUAUGAAGGCAGUCUAAUCAGCAUAUAUCCAAGUUUAUAGAUUUUAAUAGAAAAUACUUACAAUCCUAAUGGUAGGACUAAGUUUUUUAAACUAGAAAAGUAAGAAGACUUAAUUUUUAACUUUUUAAGUACAAGGAUUAAAUUUUAAAUGUUGUCAAAGUACAAGGAUUAAAUUUUAAAUGUUGUCAAAGUACAAGCACUAACAAAAUAUUUUGAUCUAAUAAAUGUAAAUGAACUUUUUAAACAAAAUAAGGUUGAAAUAAUCUAUUUGUCGUUGUAUUUUGAUAAAAUUUGAGAUUUAGUCUUUAUACCUAAAAGGUUAAAAAUUAAGUCUUCUUGUUUUUAUUUAAAAAUCUUAGUCCUAUCGUUAAAUUUUUUUGUCAAAAUUUGUCAACUUUACAUAUUAAUUAGGUUUCCCUUGUAGGUCGUGGUAUAUGACUAACACAAAAUAAGCAAUUAAGUUGACAAAUUUUGACAAAAAAUAUCAAAGAUGAUAAUAAUUGGAUUAAAAUUUUUAAAUUGAAUUUAUAACCUUUAAUGUAUAAGGAAUGGAUAUCAAAUUUUUAUAGGAAUAAAGGGACUAACAACAUAUUUUAACCACAAAAUAAUAUGGGUGAUUAGAAUGAAUCUAAAAUUUUAUAGAAAUAAAAGAGACUAACAACAUAUUGAUAACUUUGAAAUCUCCUUCGAUAAUCCUUUUUCUACGUAGAAAAAGAAAAUUAAUUAGCAUCUAAAGUGUCAAUUAAUGAAACCUUCAAGAGAAAAUGUGAAAUUGAUUUACCAAACAAUAAUAUUCUAACUUAUAAUAUAUUUAAUUACAUUUAGUAAUUUGUCAAUCAAAACUUAAUUAACAUCCAUCAAUACUUUAUAUAUAAAAAACGCAAGCAUAAAUUACAGUUUAAAGUAAUUGGGAUCUCGAGUGCAACAAAUUCCUCCUUUUAUUAUUAAAUGUUUUAUUUUAGUUACUCUAAUCAAAACUUAAUUAACAUCCAUCAAUACUUCAUACAUAAAAAACGCAAGCAUAAAUGACCAUUUAACUCAUAUUUAACUUUGCAAGUAAACUUCACUAAUUAUAGAGUUAUAGUGUAAACUUUGAAAAUAUAAGUAAAUUUACCAUUUAACUCAGACUUAACUUUGCAAGUAAACUUAAAAUUUUAUUUAAUUUUGUCACUAAAUUUGAUUUGUUCAAUAUAGAUUUUGGUGACUUAAAACAAAAUUAAUAAAAAAUUAUUCUUUCGGAUAUCUUUUUAAUGUUUAAUAAUAAGUUAAUUUAUAAAAUAUACUUUCAUUGGGCACAGGCCUCCAAGCCGGUGAACCACUGAUCAAAUUAAUUUGGAGAUAUCUUUUUUCUGAAUAAAGUGAAUUUACCAGUUUUGUUUUCUUUUAAAAAUAUUUUUAAUAUUUUUGUGGAUAUCAAGAGAUACCAAAAAUUAUUUCUCUAAAAAAUUUUAUUUGACUCGAAAAGUUAGUGUUUUAUUUCAAGGGGUCAUAAUUAAUCAUUAGAUUUCUCAAUUUUAAAUUUUGAAUUUUUUCACAAUUGCGUAAUUAAUAAGUUCCAAUUUUGAGUGUUGUGGGGCUAGUAAAAUCUUCCUUACACAUAACCGACUCUUGAACCUACUCUUUUCUUUAGAAUUCAAUGCAGACCUCAAAUUUAUCUUUUGAAAAGAAUUUUAAAAUCUCUGUAUAAAAGGUGUUUCUUUUUGUUACCGAUCACAUUUAACAAAAAUUUAAAAAUUAUUAAAAAAUAAUUUCUUUUUGAAAUUUAAAAUGAUCUAAAAACAUAUUUUUAAUUGCUUUGGACCAUCUAUUGCUGAUUUCCUUAUUAUAUUAAGUGUUUGCAAUCACUCUUAAUAUAUUGUGCUUGAGUUGUGACAAAGCCGAUCGUCAACGUGCCAUAAUGAUCAAUUGACGCUGAAACUGAAGUUUUUGUUAUAUUGAUAGAGCUUGUCCUUCAACGCAUACAACGUGUUUGUUAUUUUUCUCCCUUCAAAUUGUAUGAUCUUAUUCAUUAAAUGAAUUAAUGAAUAUCCCUUUUAAAAAGAUAUAUUUUUAAAAAUUAAAUACUUCAUAAAAUAUUUAAAACCAUUUAAAAAUUUGUUAGCCUUAAAACAAUCAACAAAAUAUAUUUUUCUCUAAAAAAUCAAUAAAAAUAUGUUUGAAAUUUUAUAUGAAAUUUAAAAUUUUUUAACAAUAAUAUAUUUUAAAAUUAUAGUAACGCUACAAAAUAUAUAUAUUUACUAAUUAUAUACACCUUUUUUAUAUUUUUUCCUAACAUAUCAUUAUUUUCAACAUUAUCGUAAUCCUGUUUUUAUAAUUCCCUUGUCAUACAUCCUUUUUCUACUUAGAAUUUCAAAAGAAAAUGUGAAUUAAUGUAGACGUGAGAAGACUUCAAGGUAAGUCACCCAAUGAAAGUGACCUAAACCGACUUAUGGAAGAAUCAAACAAUAAUUUUGUGUCUUGUAAUAUAUUUCUUGUAAUAUAUUUAAUUACAUUUAUUAGUUUAUCAAUCAAAACUUAAUUAGAAUCCAUCAAUAUUUCACACAUCAAAAACCCAAACAUAAAAUUCACUUCUAAAUUAUUUGGGAUAUAUUUGUAUUAUAGGAAAUGGAUUAAAUUAGUCUUUUUAUUAUAAAAUGUAUUAUUUUAAUCUUUGUAUUAGGUAUGAAUGAUAUCUCCUAGAUUGAACCCAAAGCUAUUCUUGAAAGACUGAAAUUAGGAUUUAGAUGUGUUGAGAUGGAAAGUGACAACACAAUGUUGAUUGAAACUAUUUGUAAUGGGUUGGCUACAAUAAGUAGUGCUGUCGAAAUAAGACAGAUUCACGAUUAGUCUUCCAAAAAUUGGGAAGUCAAAUUUCGACAUAUUUAGCGGAAUGCCAAUAAAAUUGUUGAUUGCUUAGCUAAGGCAAAUGGAGGGGUAAUUGAGCAGCUGGUUAUCUUGGAAGAUCCUCCGCAUUAUGUGAGAUGCUAGCUUGAAGAAGAUAUUAACAGUCACUGGUCUGAUGAUAAUUUUCAUUUGGACUGAUGAGCGCUUAAUUUUCUAAGCUUAUGGUCAACAAAAAAAAAUUAAAUACGUCUAAAUUGUAAUAGAGUUAACAUUUAGUGUUUAAAAAAUAUCUUAAAAUUUAUUUUUUCCAAUUGCAGUUCAAUUCCACAAAUAUCGACGAUGAACCCGAACAUAAAAAUUACAAAAAAAAACACAUCUAUUAUCAAACCAACAAUCCAUGUCUAAACUUAAAUUAACAAAAUUCACCACGCAACCUGGUACACUAUUUUAUAUAUAUAUAUAUACUAGAUUUAUUCUAGAUGCACAUGUUUUAUUAUAUUUAAAAAUUAAAAUAUAUGGUUGACUAAGUUUUAGUUGAAUUAGUAUUUGUUAAAAAUAUAAUGUUGGUAAUGACAAUAUAUAGCAAAGAAAAUAGAAAUAGAAAAAUAAAGAACACACAUAUUUUACGUGGAAACCCUUUCGGGAAAAAACCACAGGCAAAAGAGAAGAAAAUUCACUAUGUCGAAUUCAAAUCAAUUACAAGAGGAGUAGACUAUGCCUAUUUAUAGGCUUGGAAACCUUAUUCUAAUAGGAGUGAAACUCUUUAUUCUAAUAAUAUCAAAUAGAUGGAGUUUAAUAAGGUUUAAAAAACCUUAUUCUAAAAUAAAAUAAAAGAAGUAUAAUUCUAUAGGGAUUUUACUUUUAUUUUAUUUUACCAUAGUAUUUAAUUUAAAUAAGGAUUUGGGUCACUUAAUUCUAACAAUCUCAACCUUGACACGAAUUCUUAAUGAACAAGUUCUUCAUCGCGAACUCUCAACGAACAAGUUUCUCCACCUCUUCCAUAAAACCCCUUAAGGGUUUAUUUUCAACAAUGAACACCAACCAAGUCUAAGCAGUGCUCAAACUUGGUUAUAGGAAGUGACUUAGUCAUCAUAUCUACAGGAUUUUCAUGAGUACUAAUUUUGCUCACAACAAUAUCACCACGAGCAAUAAUAUCACGAACAAAAUGAUACCGAACAUCAAUGUGUUUUGUUCUCUCAUGAAACAUUUGAUCUUUUGUAAGGAAGAUGGCACUUUGACUGUCACAAAAUACUGUAUUAAUUUGAAGGUCUUCAUUGAGUUCACUAAAGAGUCCGUUCAACCAAAUAGCUUCUUUGCAAGCCUCAGUAAUCGCCAUGUGCUCAGCUUCAGUGGUAGACAAAGCGACUGUAGUUUGCAAAGUGGCUUUCCAACUGAUUGCACAACCUCCGAUUGUAAAGACAGAACCUGUGAGAGAUCUUCUUCUAUCCAGGUCUCCAGCAAAAUCAGCAUCAACAUACCCAAUGACUCCAUCUCUAGUUCUUCCAAACUGUAAGCAAACAUCGGUAGUACCUCGUAAGUAUCUUAAAACCCACUGAACUACUUUCCAAUGUCUUUUAUCGAGAUUCGCCAUGUAUCUACUAACUGCACUAACUACAUAUGAUAAAUCUAGAUGUGAACAAACCAUGGCAUACAUGAGAGAUCCUCCUGCACUAGAGUAUGGAACAUGUGACAUGUACUCAAUCUCAUCAUUUGAUUGUGGAGACAAAGCUGAUGAUAGUCUGAAAUGGGCUACUAAAAGAGUACUAACAGGCUUAGCAUUCUGCAUAUUGAAUCUAGAAAGAACUUUCUCAAUGUACCCUUUCUGACUUAGGUACAAUUUACUUGCUUUUCUAUCCCUGAGAAUCUCCAUACCAAGUAUCUUCUUUGCUGGUCCCAAGUCUUUCAUCUCAAAUUCUUCACUUAGUUGGGCUUUGACCUUUCUUAUCUCUCAUUUAUCUUUCGCUGCUAUCAAUAUGUCAUCAACAUAAAUGAGUAGAUACACAAAAGAACCAUCAUUGUUUUUCUUAAAGUAAACACAACUGUCAAAGCUACUUCUUUUAAAAUCAUGAGAAGUCAUAAAGGAAUCAAACCUCUUAUACCACUGUCUUGGUGACUGUUUCAAACCGUAAAGAGACUUUUUUAGCAAGCAAACAUAGUCCUCUUUUUCUGAGACUGUAAAACCCUCUGGUUGUUGCAUGUAAAUAUCCUCCUCAAGUUCUCCAUGCAAAAAUGUAGUUUUUACAUCUAACUACUCAAGCUCCAAAUCAUGCAUGGCCACAAUACCAAGCAAAGCUCGAAUCGAACUAUGCUUCACAACUGGAGAGAACACAUCUGUGAAGUCCACUCCUGGAAUUUGACUGUAACUAUUUGCAACAAGCCUUGCUUUAUAUUUGGGUUCUUCAACUCUUGGAGUCCCCUCUUUCUUUUUAAACACCCAUUUACAACGAACAAUCUUUUUAACUUUGGGAAGUUUCACAAGAUCCCAUGUUUUGUUUUUGUGGAGUGAUUCUAUCUCCUCUUGCAUAGCAAACAUCCACUUUUCUGAAUCUUCACAACUAAUCGCCUUAGAAUAAUUAGAUGGCUCUUGGUUUGCAUCUAUAUCUUCAGCCACAUUUAAAGCAUAAGCAACUAGAUCAGCCUCAACAUACUUCUUUGGAGGUUUAAUUUCUCUUCUAGUUCUAUUUUUGGCGAUAGAGUAUUAUGGUGAAGAAGCAACUCUAUUUUGAAUUUUCGUACUGGCUUUAGUAGUCGACUCUGUUGUAGAUUCUAGAUCAAUCUGAUGCUCCACCUGCUUUAGAUUUUCUUUAUUGGAAGUCUUUAAGAGAUAACUUAGGUAGCAUAGCAGUUUCAUCUAAAACAUCUCUGCUAAUCACAACUUUUCUAUUUUCAGGACACCAUAACUUAUACCCUUUUACACCAGCUUUAUAACCAAGAAAAACACAUUUAGUAGAACUCGGUUCCAAUUUUCCAUUAUCAACAUGAGCAUACGCAGGACAACCAAAGAUUUUUAAAUUAGAAUAGUCAGCAAGAUUACCAGACCAUACUCUUGUGGAGUCUUUUUCUCAAUGGCAACGGAUGGAGAUCGGUUGAUCAAAAAACAUACAGUAGAGGCUGCUUCUGCCCCAAAAUGACUUUGAUAAGUUGGCAUUUGACAACAUAUAUCAAACCUUCUCCAUGAUCAUUUUGUUUAAUUUUUCUGCAAUGCCGUUUUUCUAUGGAGUAUGACGAACUGUCAAGUGUCUCACGAUCCCUUCUGACUUGCACAGUUUAUUAAAUUCAUCAGAACAGAACUCUAAGUCAUUGUCUGUGCAGAGGCAUUUUAGUUGCUUUCCUAUCUAUUUUUCAAUCAUGGUUUUUCAAGACUUAAAUGAGGAAAACACAUCACUUUUCCGCUUUAGGAAGAAUGCCUACACUUUUCUAGAAAAAUCAUCAAUUAAAGUUAGCAUAAGUAGCUCCACCUCUCGAAGGCACUCUGGAUGGCCCCCACAGAUCAGAAUGAAUAUACUCUAACGUUCCCUUCAUGUUAUGGAUUCCUCUGGUGAAUCAGACUCUCUUUUGCUUCCCAAAAAUGCAGUGCUUACAGAACUUCAGUUUGCAAAUUUCUUGCCCAUUAAGAAGUCCUCUUUUGCUCAAUUCUGCCAUGCCAUUCUCACUCAUAUGCCCUAGGCGCAUAUGCCAAAGUUUAGUAAUAUCAUCAUCUGACAAGGAAGAGGAUGAGACAGUUGCAUCACCAGUAACAGUAGAACCCUGCAAAACAUAUAACUUGGCAGUCUUUCUCUGCCCUUUCAUCACAAUGAGGGAACCUUUGGAAAUCUUCAAAACCCCACUUUCAACUGUGUAUUUGUACCCUUUUGAAUCAAGAGUACUCAACGAAAUUUAAUUUAUUUUUAAUUUUAGAACAUGUCGUACGUCAGUGAGUGUUCUGACAACUCCAUCAAACAUCUUAACUCUGAUUGUUCCAACACCUGCAAUUCUACAUGAAGCAUUAUUUCCCAUCAACACAAUACCUUCAGACACUAUUUCGUAAGUUGUAAACCAAUCCCGAUUGGGACUCAUGUGGAAGGUGCAACCCGAAUCAAGGAUCCACUCCUCGUCACUUUGGAAUUGUCGAUUGAAGUGACUAGAAGUUCACCAUCGCUGUAAUCUUCUACAACAUCAGCUUUACCAGAAUUUUCUAGUUGUUUUCCAUUUUGAUUCGCAGCCUCCCUUUUGAUCUUGUUCUGUAGCUUAUAGCACUCAGUUUUAAUGUGCCAUUUCUUCUUGCAAAAGUUACAAGUUUUACCUCUGUUUGAAGACUACUUUUAGAUUUACUGCGAGGAUUCCGUUCCUGUGUCCUUCCAUGAUCAUCAUCAGCAUUCCGAUCUUGUCUCCCAUGAACAAUAAGACCCUCUCCCCGAGAGUCGAUUUUAAGCACAAGAUGCUUCAUCUUAUCAUACGAGGUUAAAGAAUCAUAAACCUCAUCAACUGUGAGAGACUCGCGGUUAUAUAAAAUCGUAUCUCUAAAGGAUGAAUAAGAUGAGGGCAACGAACAAAGUAGAGUCAACCCUAGAUUUUCCUUAUCAUACUGAACCUCCAUGGCCUCCAAGUUUGAGAGAAUUUCUUUGAACACUAUUAAGUGUUCGUGCACAGAUGCACCUUCCUCCAAACGAUAAGCAUAAAGACGCUGCUUCAUAUGUAGCUUGAUAGUUAGAGUUUUCGACAUACAUAUCUAUUCCAACCUCUUCCAUAAUCCAGCAGCAGUCUUUUCCUUCAUCACAUCCUGCAAAAUUUUGUUAGACAAAUGCAGAUGUAACUGUGUUAAUGCCUUUCAAUCCUUGCACUUCUUCUUUUCUUUCGUCAAUGUUGAAGGCAUCUUAUCUACCCCUAGUAGGGCUUCCUCUAAGUCCAUCUGUGCAAGAACUGCUUGCAUCUUUAUCUGCCACAAUGCAAAUCUAGUAUUGCGAUCCAACAGCAGAAUUUUGUACUUCAAAGACGUUAUUACCGUGAUUGAGAUGAACAACCCAGAAGCUCUGAUACCAAUUUGUUAAAAAUAUAAUGUCGGUAAUGACAAUAUAUAGCAAAGAAAAUAGAAAUAGAAAAAUAAAGAACACACAGAUUUUACGUGGAAACCCUUUCGGGAAAAACCCACGGGCGGAGGAGAAGAAAAUUUACUAUGUCGAAUUCAAAUCAAUUACAAGAGGCGUAGACUAUGCCUAUUUAUAGGCUUGUAAACCUUAUUCUAAUAGGAGUGAAACUCCUUAUUCUAAUAAUAUCAAAUAGAUGAAGUUUAAUAAGGUUUAAAAAACCUUAUUCUAAAAUAAAAUAAAAGAAGUAUAAUUCUAUAGGGAUUUUACUUUUAUUUUAUUUUAUCACAGUAUUUAAUUUAAAUAAGGAUUUGGGUCACUUAAUUCUAAUAGUAUUGAUAUUAUUGUCAGUGUAGGAAAAUAUGAGUUUAAUCAUGCUCAAAUGUGUUUUAUCCUCCAAUUCAAGAGUUAGGAAAAGGUUAUUGAUAAUUAAAUUAUACCAACUUUUAUGAUAUUAAAAAAGGGUUUAUAAAUAAUAUAAGGAAAAGAAAAAAAAGCGAGAAACAUAUUCAUAUUGAUAUUAGACUUUUUUUUUUCUAUCACAAGUAAAAAUAUCAAAGGUGAUAAUAAUUAAAUUAAAAAAUUUAAAUUGAAAAAAUAGGGGAUUGAAUUUAUAACUAACAACAUAUUUUAACCACAUAAUAAAAGUAGUUAUGAAGAGGAUCAUGUAAAAUAAUGACCUGAAUAAUUUUAAACGUCUCAUUCUUGCAAAAAUGAAAUAAUAGAAAAGAAAUAAGUGUUGGGUGUAGUGACAAUGUACAUUAUACUUCUAAGGGGAGAUCAGGGUUUUAGGCAAGGGAAGAAUUUAAUUUAAACCUACUUUUUUUUCUCUAGAACUCAACCCAAACCUCAAAUUUAUCUUUUUAAAAGAAUUUUAAAAGAUCUAUAUAAAAGGUGAUUUUUUUUUAUCGAUUACACUUAACAAAAUUUUAAAAUUUCUUUUUUUGAAAUUUAAAGUGACCUAAAAACAUAUUUUUAAGUCCUUCAGACCAUCCUGUGCUGAUUUCUUUAUUAAUUUGAUUUGUUCAAUAUAGAUUUUGGUGACUUAAAACAAAAAUAAUAAAAAAUUAUUUUUUCAGAUAUGUUUUUAAUGUUUAAUAAUAAGUUAAUUUAUAAAAUAUACUUUCAUUGGAUACAGGCCUCCAAGGCGGUGAACCACUGAUCAAAUUAAUUUAGAGAUACCUAAAUUUGCUUUCAUCAAUUAAGAAAUUAAAAAAAAAUUGCUGAGACCUCAUGAUUAUCUUUUAUAAUUUCAGGCUUAUCACCAAAAACUAAAAAAUAAAAACGUCGACAUUAAAUUUGUUGGUAUGCAAUCAAUUUUAAGAUGGUUUUUGGAGUUAUAUAUCACUUUAGCAUGGACUUACUUUUCUACAGUUAGUCUUCUCCAACAAGUUAAAUAUUUAAAUUUUAACAACAUUGACAGGUCUUUGGGGUAGGGUCGAGCAAAACUCAAUAGAAACAGAUGAUAUAGAUUGAGUUGGCUCGGCCAAGUCGAGUCGACUUGUUCAAAUUAGUUAAAUUAGUAAAUUUUAGGGUGCAGUUAGUAUUUUUUGUUUUGAGAUGCUAAGAUUAAAAAAUUUCAGUUGUUAAAACAAAAAAAUUGUAUUAAAAAAAGGCAUAAAUUAAAUUAUUAAGUUUUUCAAGUUUCCAUUUAAUCAAAGGUUAAAAGGACUAAAUUGAAGCUUUUUAUUUUUAAGAAAGGCUGAAUGACAAAUUGCCCAAAGCCCAUGCCCCUAGCUAUACGCCCCUGGUAAAAUCAAUUUUAAAAUUAGUUAUAAUAGUUGAAGCGAAUUGAUUAUUGAGUAAUGAAAUACAUAGUUCAACAAAAAAAAUAAGUUGACAAAUUUUGACAAAAAAAUAUCAAAAAUGAAAUAAUAGAAAAGAAAGAGUAGGCAUUUUAUGAAAUUUAUAAUUCCAUGAAUAAAAUAUAAAUUUUAUGAAUGUGGACGAGCCAUUUUUUUAUAAUUUUCAGUGUUUUUCUUCUUUUUCUUACUUUUUUUAAAGUAUUUUUCUUUGUUUCCUAACCACCAUGAAAUUACUUGUCACAAUUCAUCUUUUCAAAUGAGAAACAUUUUCCACAAUUUGCCAUCACUUCAACAUACACUAACUUUUCUAUGAUUAGUCCUUGGUUUGCUUCGGGUGCAAUCUUCCAACUAGCCUUAUCCUUGGUUUUACUUUCCAACAUUUAGUGUAUCACGAGUUUUGUUUUCUUUAAAAAAAUAUUUUCGUGGAUAUUAGGAGAUAAUGAAAAUUAUUUUACUAUGAAAUUUUAAUAAAACUGGAAAAUAAGUAAUUUAUUUUAAGCGAUCACAAUUAAACAUUAGAUUCCAAUUUUUUAAUUUUUUUUUUACAAUUGCAUAAUAUUUUGAGCAUUGUAGGAAUGCCAUAACCUUCCCUACGCAUAAUAUACUCUUGAGCAUGAUGGAUCCUAGACCUUCUUUAUUCUCGUACCACAAAUUGCUUCAAGUGUGGGUUCGAACAAUCACAAAUUAAACACAAAACCAGAAAUGAUUUAUUACUUUCAAUAGCAAAGUAAUUCUCUUUCAAUAGAAACCAAUAAAAUUGUAAUUCCUAGAAAAUUAAAAUUUAUUUUUUCAAAAUAUCUUCUCUCUACUUUCUAGCAGAAUAACAAUAUGCGAAACUUAUGUCUUGUGUUAAUAGCCCUACCGGUACUAUCUAUUUAUAGGGAGAGACACGAGAAUCCUAGUUGAAUUAGUAAAACACAAAUAAUAUUUAUUUCAUAGAAACCAACAUUCUACCCUAAGUAGAUCAAGUUUGGAUGACGCAUGGAUCGAAGCUCAAUCUAGGGGAAAAAAAUAAAGGAAUUUUCUUUGUAAAGAAAAUCUGAGAUUAUACUAUUUUCGAAGUUAUAAAUAAAAUUAUACGCCAAAUUUUGAAGUCAAUUUUCAACUCAAAUGUUGUAUGUACAAAUUUCUAAUACACUUGGUGGGACAUUCUUUAACUUUUAUCUAUUCUCUCAAAACGUUAAAGUUCAAAGUUGCAUUAAACUCAAAAAAGAUAAUCAUUAGUAAACCAGCACACAAGCCUACUCAAGCUAAUCCUACAACUCGUUCCACUUCAUCAUCAAACACCAAUGUUCUUGCUUAUCCUUAUGGAAUUAAACAAAAGACAAAAGCUCUUUAAAGUUAUUUGAACAGACUUCUUUAAUGGUAAAUGAUAAUCCACUCUAUGAUGCUUCUUCGCCCAACUCAUGAUUUAAAAGAAGUUUCUACUCAUAGAUCAAGUGUAGCUCGCCAGUUAUCAUUAAGGAGAAAAAGGAGUCAAUCAAGUGAAAAUUAUAUUCCAACAUCUCCCCAGAACCAAAUUUCAUAGUGAUGAAUGUCAUGACAACUGACACUACAUUCUUAGAAGAAUAAGUAGAUUUCUAGCAAAAACGAUGGAGAGUUUUACUACAAGCAUAAAAGAAAUGGAUGAUCAAAUUGAACAUCUUAGUGGAAGUAACCAAACCUUUUCCAACGAAACUCAACAUCCUCUUCACAAAGUUGUUGGAAUCUUAAUUGUUGAAGGACUUUAAAGUGUUUCUUUAGAUCAACUCAAGGAGUUUAUUAAAAAAACCAUCAAAGAUCAAGUCAAAAGUGUUACUUUGCCUUCAUAUACAUACUCAAAGUCAUACAUCUGAAGGAUUUAUCAUUUGAAUAUGCCUGAGCAUUAUCCACCUUUAAAAUUGUAAUAGUUUGAUGGUAAAGGAAAUCCAUGUAAACAUGUCGUUCACUUCAUGGAAACUUGUGAUCGCGUCGAUGUAACACCCCACUCGUGACCCAAUCGCUGGAUUCAAGAAGAGAGAUACCAAAAUCAUGUUGGAAAAAAUCUUCGAUAAGUGUAGCAUGAGUGCUCACACUCUCCAAACACUCCAUACUAUCUUUGGUAUUGAAGUUAAGCUUGACACUCCCUUAUCUCUCUAAUGUUAUCUUCAGGCCAUAAUGCCCUAUCACAUAGUAAAAAAGGUGAGUACUCACAAUCCUAUGGCAUGCCAAUGAUAUCUAAUGGUUUCAAGUGUUCACAAUGCCAACAUAUGUUUUGUAUCACAUUCACUUUACACAAUUUAAAAGGGCUCACAAUACAGCAGAUCUCACGUAUAAUAGUUUUUAAUAACACAAUUCACAUUUCUGUAGGGCUCGUAUUAUAUAUAAGUUCGUAAUAACAUGGAUUCGCAUAACACUUAUGGCUCGCAUAUAUUUAGGGCUCAUAUGUAACAGUUGGGAUCCUAUAUAUUUAAACUCGCAUAAUACAGGGGCUCGCACGACAUAUUUUGGCUUGCAUGCAAUAUAGGGCUUGAUCACAUAUAUAGGUUCACAUGAUCUUAGGGCUCGCAUCACAUAUAUAAGCACGCAUGAUACAUGGGUUCACUCAACAUGUAUAUAUCAACUCGUGCAUCAAAGUAUAGGCUCGCAAGCAUUAAGGUGAUAGAGUUUGCAAACAAUUUAGAGCUCGCACACAUCAUAGGCUUGCAUACAUACAUGUUAGCAAGGUCUGCAGGUUACAAAUCGAGGCUCACAUAACUAUAGAGGCUUGCAUGGAAAUAUAAAAUUGUUCAGAUAUCAUUUUAAUCGGCUUCACACAUUAAAUCAAAUGGUUUGCAUGCAUUCCUUGGCUUUCAUUAGCAUGCGAACUCGUGUUUUUAACACAGUGUGCAAGGACACUCACUAGUUGUUUGUUGAUACUGUCGAACCUAUACCACCUUUUGCUUGACUUUUUCCUUGCUCAUGGAUGCACCUUCACAUUGAAAGGAUUUGCAUAAAACAAGAAAUAAUACAGAUUACUACUUUCACAGACAUAAUAACCUUCUUAACAAACAUAGUAGCGAAUCUUCCAAUCUUCCUUAAUAAUUCCUUAAAUGAAGCUAAACCAAAAUGCAUUAUAAAUUCAAUCAAUUUACCAUUAAACCAGCCCCCAAACACCCACUUAUAAGUUCAAACUGAUCAUUGAAAUUAUAAUUAUUUUAUGAAUCCAAACUAGUUAGAUUCCUUAAACUGUAUUGAUGCGAAUUGUAUGUACAAUCGUUCUUCACCUUUACGGAUGAUUUGGGGUGUUUGGGUCAACACCUAAUUCAAUAAUAUACUGGAAAACUAGUAGUUAACCAAUUCAUAACCUUUACCCAACAACUAUGUCGAAAUAACAAACUAGUUUAUAAUUAAUCGUACUUAUACCAAAUUGCGAGAUCUGAAUGGCUAAUUGAUCAAGAAUGUGUUUUGUAACAUCCCAAAAAUUAGGUUAGAAGAAAUGGGGCUUUGAAACCAAGAGUGGUCAUCCCCCGAUUAUGAGUUUAGAUCUUGGAAAAUUUGACAAGUAAACUGAUCUGGUUAAUGGUUAAGUGUCUUGGUUAUAUGUGUCAGGUUUUGGGUUCAAAUCUUGUUUUUGGAAAUUUUGUUACUUUGCUUAAACUCUUACCUUGAAUGUUUGGUUUAUAAGUUAAAUUUAGUCAAUUGAUGUCAAGAAUGAGUCUAUUGGUUCAAUGGUUAAGUUUUUGUAUAAUCAUUGGUCUUGUGUUCGAAUCUCAACAAAAGUAAUAGGGAAUGUUUUGUUUUUAAAUUUUUUUUAUAGGGUAGUUAGUUUCGAUUGGUUAUUUAAAGCCUUCCAGAAACCUCUAUUGCUUUUAUUUUUAUUUUGUUCUUUCUUUUUCUGCGACAUUUUCUAUCAUUUUGUUUCUGUUCUUUAGUUUCGUCAUAUUGGUUUUUUAUUUUCAAGCAACUUUUUUUUUGUUAUGUUACAUUACGCCGAUUGUGUACGGAGUCUAACUUCACCCUCUAGUUAAUUCGCUGGCCGGUAAGUUCGAUUUAAAGUUUUGGUGUUGAAAGUUUUUUAACGUAAAUUUAAUUUUGAAAUGUUAGUUUUUAGUGGUUUAGCUGCAAAUUAAUCGUUUGUUGGAAAAUUGCUUGUCGUUCAGGGACAUGAAUUUAUCCUUGUUACUCUUGCAUCAAGUUCGUAUCAAGUGGGUAUCAGAAAACCCUUCUUCUUUAAAUUUUAGUUGUCAAAUAAUGGCACUAUCGAUGCCACAUAGCUGUGUGGCAGGCCGUGUAACUUACUGUUCAAAAAAAUUAGAGGCAUACGAGCGUGGGCCCAAAUUGUGUGUGGUUAUGAAUUGUGUAGGGUUCACACAGGCCAGUGACACUAGCAUGUGUCAGGUCGUGUGGGACACACGGGCAAGUACACGAGCGUUUACCAGACUGUGUGGAGUCACAUGGGCCAGUUCUCUAGGCCGUGUAAAACCAUAUAGGUAUGUGAAGCAAUAUUUGGAAUUUUUCCCUUGGGUUACAAGAGUUGUUUGAAACAAACGCAUAAAUACUGUAGGGUCCGUACGAUUUGGAUUAGGCUAUAUAACUUGAUAUUUGAUGAUAUGAUGAUGAACAACUUGUGAUCUAUACGUAUAUUUGUUAUGUUUGAACCUAUGUGAGUAGGAUCUGUUAGAAUGUAACAUGUUAUUUUUUGUUGUGUGUGAACUAUCCAGGUACAAUUUGUAUUCUAUUAAGUUUUUUGGUACGCCUAUGUGUUACUCUAUUGAUGAAGAAUAUGUGACAUUUGAUUAUGUUAGAUUGAUUGUUACUGAUUAUAAUUUAUAACCCUCUACGUUACUUCAUUGAUGAGGAAUACACGUAUAUGAAAAUGUUAGAUUGAUUGUUACUGAUUCUAAUUUAUAGUCGUGUAUGUGACUUCAUGGCAAAUAUGAUAUGAUUUGUUGAGGUUUGAUAAGUCUAUUUUACAAAACAUGGACCCUCAUGUCUCCUGAUUCUGUUAUUGAAAGAUAUCAUGACUUACAUGCUCAUCACUCUAAUUCUUCAUAUGUAUGUCAUGACACGUUGCAUGGGAUUUGGGUUGAUGUGAAAGGAGGAAGUUUUUGGCAGUUAAUGAUCUGUAUUAUCUGGUGGUUUAUCCAUGAUUCUGUUCCGGCAACUUAGUUGUACUAUAGUGGCUUGACCAAAUGUAACCGAUCUGGCAGUCUUAACUGCAAAAUUUUGGUGGCACCAUUCACAAUUAUCUAUUGGUGUAAUUUGGCCGGAUGAGUUAUGGGGGAACUCUAUUUUGGUUAGUAGCAAAGUUUGGGUAUGAUGUUUUCUGAUAAUUUUGCAUUCUAAUCUAUUUGAAAAAUACAAUAUUUGCAUAACACAUUUUCUACUCUGCUCUAUUCUGUUCUACUCAGUUCUAUUCUGCUUGAUUUAUUAUGUUCUGCUUCAUUCUGUUGUGUUCGGUUCUGUUGGACUGUUGUUGUGAAAAUUUUCGUGAUACUCUAGAUCUAUUCCAUACUGGUUAUAAAUUUGUUAUUAAGUUCUUUGCGUUACUUUGAUUUAUAUAAUAAAAUCUGUUUAUUUGUAUCUAAGUUUCAUUAUACACGACGCUUGGUGUUUCACCCUUUGUCUUAUCUUAAUCUGUUCAAGUGCACAUCUUACUUACGACUAGAUGUACAGGAGCUCAGAUUGUUUUGCAUUGAUAUAACUAUGAUUUGAUCUUUUAGGUUGUAAUUUGUUUUUGGACUUGUCUUGCUUUUCUUUUGAUAAUCUCGUCAAUAUCUGUCAUUUUCUAACACAAAAAUAAAAAACCACCUAAGUCGACUAAAAUGAAUUUCUGGUUUUCAAAGUUGAAAUUUUGAAAAGAAACUAGUUUUCUGCACGUUGGCGUAACUCGUCCAAAUUUGGCUUAAAUUUGUAGGUCGAGUUUGGGGUGUUACAUCUUUCCCUAAUUAACAUGUGAUUAAAUAUUUAUUAGAAGGAUUCAAAAACUCAACUUAAUGCUGGAAAAAUAUGGGCAAGAACCAAGAAACAAAACAACCCCCUUUCUUACACAUAGCCGUACGAACCACCACCCAUGAUGGCCAAAAUUGGGGUUGAAUUUUAAAAUGGUUUGAGAUCUCAUUAAAAAUAUAGAAAAACACAUUUGUGUCGAAACCACUAUUUAUUUUUGAAAAAUGGGAAUCAACUUUAAAAAAUGAAAAUGGGAGUCACCACUGAUCUUUUAUUGAGGUGUGAUCAGAUCACCUUAAAAAUGAUUUUAGGUCUACGAAUUUUAAGAAAAUAGGUUUCGGAGUUGGUUACACACGAGGAAGGGUUAGCACCCUCAUAACGCCCAAAAUUGGUAUCGAAUAGACUGUUUAAUGUCUUAGUGUCGAAAAUUUGAAAACAUUUUAAAAUACGAUCCUUUUUUAAAGAAAAUUUGAAUAAGUUGACUUAGAAGAUAAGACCCUUUUAUUUCGAAGAAGUAAAAUAUCACAUCCAGUGAGUUAGGGUGCAACAUUUCUAAUCCUUAAAAUUAAGUUUGUCUUUUGAUUUUUAAAACUCAUGCAUUUAAAUUUGAAAAGGAUAUUCAGUUAUUUGGGUCAAAUGAAAAAUCAAAACCCAAUAAGUUAGGGUUCAACUUCCAAAAAUUGCUAAAUACCGAAUAUUGCCUUUAUUUUUUUUAGAAAUCCAUAACUCAAGAUAACCAAAUGACAUAUCCAGUAAGUUAGGAUCCAACAUUUUGAAAUCCCAAUAGAGAACUUUUUAUUUAGGAUUUGUAUGGUUUUAUUGCAAAAGAGAUACUUGGCUAUCUAAAUUCAUCGAAGAGAAUUGAAGCCCACUAAGUUAGGGCAAAAUCUUCUCGAAAAUCGUGAAUACCGAGUAUUUUGAAAAUUUACGAAAUAAGAUGAUUUUAAUGCUUUAAGGAAACAUAAUUUUUAAAACAAAUGUAGUGUGAUUGAACGACAAUGUACAAUGCAAAAGGAUAAUUAAAAAAAAACAUGUAUACAUUAGUGAAUAACUAUCAAUCAAUAAAUAUAAAUAAGUAAAAUGAUACAUACGAGAACAAUAAUCUUACAUUCCAGAUUAUGCAAAUACUAAAUUUUAAAACUAAUGAAUUAUAAAUUAAUUUUGAAAGAAAUGCCAAGCAAACUAACACAAAUAAAAUAUAACAAGUUUUAAAAAUAAAAAGAAAUAAAAAAAGUACACAGAAAGAAAUUUAAAAUCAUCAGUACAAACAAUAAGUUAUAUGAAUAAUAUUUCAAAAUAAACAAUAUAUAUAUGAAUUUGAAAUAGUUCAAAAAUAAAGGUAAAAAAAUACUAUGUGAAAAGAAAUAAUAUCUAAAUGAAUUUUAAACAAAUAUUGUAUACAAAGAAAAUCAAAAUAAGUAAUACACAAAAUAAUACACGUAUAUCAAUCUAAAUGAAUAAUACAUAUUAAAAAAUCUUUAAAUCAUAGAAAUAUAAAUAAGUGAAUUUUUUAAAAAAUUUAAUUAUACUGCAAAAUAAAACCAUUAAAGAAUGUGUACAAUUCUAUUGAAUUUAUAUAAAAUAAUAUAUGACAAAUUAUAAUAAUAAUACAUAAUAAAUCUGAAAUAACAAUAUACAAUAAACUUAGAUAAUAUUAAUGAUAAAUUUAAGAUAAUAAUAAGUUUUAACAUUCAAAUAAUAUUAGAUUUAAAAUUAAAAAUAAAAAAUAGCAUAAUAAAAAAUACUUAAAUAAGUAAAAAGCAAGCAAAUUAAAAUAAAGUAAUGAGGAUUAAAUUGAAUUUAAAACAAAAUUUAAAAUAAAAAAAUGAGAAUAAAACAAAACUGAGAGCCAAAAAAAGACGCGCGGAUAACAUGGGGACCAAAUGGGAAAUAUUCCCUUCCUUCAAAACGCAGCGUUUUGACACGGACCAAAUUGGAAUGAAACAUAGAAUGCGUGGCCAAAUCUAAAUAAAAUAAAAGGAUAAAUUUGAAAGAGUUAUAAAAAGAACGGGGACCAUUUGCGCAAAUUUCUCCUACGCUAUAAAACGCGCGGAUACUUCUCCGGGUAGGGUCACCGGGCGCGUAUAGGCCAAUAUAGUGUCGUUUUGAAGCCACUGAAGCAGGCUGAAAAUGACAUCAUCACAAAAUUAGUAUAAGAUUAAAAUUAAAGCAAACAUUAAGCCAUUUAACCACAGAAACCCUAGCCCCUUUCGCCGUUCUGAACUUUGCUAAUUCUUUUAGCCUUGAAACCCUUGCCAAACUCUGAUCACGGCGAAGCAAACAAGGAUUUCGCGGCGGUUUUAUUAAGGUAACUUAUUCUUUUGUUAAUCGCCUCUUUUUUAUAUCUAGUAAUAAACAAAAUAAGGAUUCAAGAGCAGAGAAGAGAACUAUCAAGAGAAAAAGAAAAAAAUGAAAACUCAAAUCACCUUUCGAGAUUUCGUAUUUUUUGCCUAUUAGAUUUCUUUUUCUGAAUCAGUAUAUGUAAUCCUUUUACAAAUGAAUCAAUCGGCUUUAUAUAGCCGAAUAAAACCAAAAAAUUACAAAAUUAUUAUUUUUGUUAUUUAUCACUGCUGCUAUUCUCGUUUUUUCUUUUAUGUUAUUGCCUUCCUUCGUUUGCUUGUUUGUUGCGUCUAUUGUAGGUACCAAACCAGCUGGAGCACACGCAUGGAGGCACAAUGGAUGGGGGGCACACGCGUGUGGGGUUGGAGCUGCUGCGGCGUUGGGGCAACAGGCUAGGGUUUUUGGAAACUGCUUAGGUUUAUCUAGGUUUGGGCUUGUUGGGCCAAAUGGGGUUAGUUUUGGGUACUUUAAGUUAAAAUGAUUUGGGCUAUGUAUUUGGGUAUGGGUUUUAGGCUAAUACUGGACUACUAUUAUUUUUAUUUUAUUUUGGUUUAUUAUUGAUUGGGCCUAGGUUUUAUUAGAUUUGUAAUUGUAUUUGGUUUUUUAGUAUUUGGUUUGGGCUAGGCAAAAUUUGGUAUUACAAUUUGAAUUCAUUUAAAAUCCCCCAAAUUCCAGAUCUAAAAUUUUUUCUUUUUAAUUGACAAGAUUAAUUAAGAAAUUGAAGAGAAAAGAGAUCUUACCCAAGCCAGUUGAGAGAAAUGACGAUGACACUUUCUUUGCAAUGCUCAAGAUCGAUCUUAGGGUUCAAGAUUUUAGAUUUGGGGAUGAUUUAAAUGAGGAUAAAUGAUAGCAAUAGAGUAAAGGAGAUGGUGCACAAUCUUGAUGCAAAAAGAAGAAGAAAGAGAUGGUAAAUGGGAGGUGUAAGCAAUGACAACAAUGGGAGAAAGAAAGAAAAUAAGAGAAAAGUGGGGAGGAAGAUGCUGAACAGAUAGGGUAGGGAAAAAUUGAAUUUUAGGCUAAAAAUAUACUUAGGGUUCAAGGUUAUGGACAGCACACACAUUUAAAAAACAAAGGAUUUUGCAAAAUUUACUAUUUUGCAAGGGAAAGGAUUCGAAAUUGGGACCUCAUUUAAUUUUCAUGUUUUCUCAUAUUUCUUUUAACCAUUAGGAUUUUUCCUCAUUCUUAAAAUCAUUUUGAAAUAUUUAUUUUAAAAAUAAGGCAUGUCACACUAGGGUUUAAGGCAAAAUUAGCAAAAUAAUAAAAAAAAUGAGAGAGAAGGGGGUUUCAAGGAACGCUUCACUAAAACUUAUCCAACAAACCAACACCUCAUUAUUUUCCUAAAUAUGCAUAGGUAAUCAUCAAAAUUAAGGCAUCACCACUCUUUCUCGAUUCACAAACCCGAUUCUACUAACCCUUGAUUUUUGGGAUGUUAUAAGGUGAGUUCGUAGUGUAACAAUAUAUAUGUGUGUGUUUUGGGGAUACGAUUGGCAUGCCAAUAGGGUUAGUUACACUUCAAUGCCUCUCUUUACAAUUUGGUGCCACUGUAUUUGCACUACAGUGCCUCUGUUAGUAUUUCGAUGUUUAGGGGAAACCCGAGUAUCCAAGUCAUUUUAAUAUAGUUCAAAAGGCCAUGAAAUUUUAUGUUUAAAUGUUAAAUUACUCUUGAGUUUGAUUUAUGUAUAAAAUGAUAUAUUUGUGUAUAUACGUAUAUAAGCAUGGAUUGCUUUGGUUUGAGCCAUUGUUUAUAUUGAAUCAUAUGAGACAAAUGUUUUGAUUAGUAUAGUUUGAGAAUAAAUAUUAAUGCUUUGGUGUAAUUAUAUGAUUCAUAUGUCUAUAAACAUGAAUCUAAUUAUGUUUAUGGUGUGUUUAGAGAAUUAAAUGGUUAUAUGAUUAUUUUCCAGGUAUUCGAGGUUGUUUAAUUUGGUUUAAUGGGUAAAUAAAGCUUUAAAGGGUAUGUGAUUACAUGAAAUGAACUAUCAUAUUUGAGUAAUGAUAUGGAUUAUGAUGAAAUGUUUAAUUGAAAAGAAAAUAUGGUUUAGUAUAUAUGUAUGAGUGGUGAAUUAUGAAAGUGAAAUGUAGAUAUGUUUUAUACCAUGUUUUGAUUUGAAUUAUAUAUGAUAUGUUACACCAACUAACCUUGUGAGGUGGUGUGUAUAGGAAAGGAAAGUUGGCUUAAAACAUAAUGAAAUUAUGCUUGGUUUUUUAACUUAAAAUAUUCAAUAAGUUAAGUUUCAUUUAUAUGAACUUACUAAACAUUAAUUGCUUACAUAGUUAUUUUUCUUUAUUUUGUAGUUCAUCAGAAGCUCGGCCGGUUGGAAUCAUGUCAGAGCACGAUCACACUAUCCAUUCAACAUUUUGAUAGUUUUUGGUUAUUUUGGUAAAUGGUUAUAAAUGACAUGAAAUAGGGUUUAAAGGUCAUUCCAGUGAUUUGACUUGUUUUGAGUUGUGUCAAGCUUAUUGUGAUUAAUGUUGUUAGUUGCUGGCAUGUAAAUAAUGGUGUAAAUAUGUGUGGUCGGACCCUUAUGCAUGCUUUAUUGAUUAAAGAUAUCAUAUGUUAAAAUGGCAUGUUUUUGGAAUGGUUAUUUGGCAUGAUUGGUAUAGGUUUAAGUUAUGAUCUUGAGAUGUUGAAUUGAAUUAAGUUUGAUAUGUAUAUUGUGAUGCCUUCAUUGACAUAUUGGUUAGAUAUUAAGGGAUGGUUGAUUUGGUAUGUUUUUGAAAUGGUUGUUGGUAUGUUUGAUCUAAGUUGAUUAAAUGAACUUGUAAUGUUGAAUGGUAUAAUAUUUGUUGGUACAUUCAUUAGUCUUAUAGGUUGAUGGAAUUGGUAUGUUUUAAAUGUGUUUUAAAUGUGUUUUGAUUAUUUGGAUGUUUGUGGAAAUGGUGUCUCUUGGUGUACAAGAUUUGAAAUUGAAACGGCUUGAUUUAGAAUCAACUUAUGCUGCACACUGCCUGGGACAUGGAUUGUCACAUGGCUGUGUCAUAAUUGUUUUAGGUACGGGUUUCACACAAUCUAAGACUCGGCUCACGACACAGUUGUGUAUCACAAGUCAGUAUGUAACACAGUUUUGCACAUGGCCUGCGACACGAUCUUGUGUCUAGACUUCGAAUGUCCACAUGGUCUGGGCUAUGUCACAUGGCUUGGCCACAUGGUCGUGUGACUUUUGUUUUCAAGUUUUCCAAAAUUUUCUAUUUUAUUUCAAAUUGAUCCUAGAAUAUUCUCAAACUAUUUUUAAGGCCCCGUAGGUUCGGAUUAAGGCCCCGUAAGUGUAUGUUUGCUAUAAUUAAGUUGUGCUACUGAAUGUUACUAAUUCAAUCACAUGAAUAUUUUGUUGUAAGUUAAAUGUUUUAAUUUUUACUAUAAUGCUCUGUAACCUUAAUCUUGCGAUGAAAACAGGUUUGGCGUGUUACAAUUUUGGAUUGUAAAUUUGUUUUGGGGCUUUGUUCUUUGGUUCUUGCGAUGUUGGUUAGAUUUUGGUGUUUUAACAUUAAACUGCAAAAUUGUAUAACUUAAUAAACUAAAAAUUAGGUUUUCAAAAUUAAAACUCUGGAAAUUUUUCUUGCAAAGUUUAAGUAAUCACUUAAGUGUUUUUCCAUAAAUAAUUAAAUGGUUUUUAACAAAUGUUUUCCUUAGUUUUGGAAAUGAUCUGCCAAUAUUAGUACUUUUAAAACACAUGAUUUCAAAUUCAAAUUCUCAGUUUUAAAUAAGGGUUUUCACACUUCAGUUUUUUUUAAACAUUUGUGAGAGGUUUUUGCCAAAUUUUAUGUUUUCAGAAUGUGUAACUAAGUUGAUUUUUAAUUAGUUUUUCAAACGAGUCGAGUAAUUCCUCAAAAAUCCAGUCAUAGCGUCUAGGCCGGGUUUGGGAUGUUAUACUGACGUUACUAAAGUUAAUCUUCAUCUAUUUAGUCUAGAUCUAAACAUUAAUAUUCUCUUCCAAGAAAAAUCAAGACUAUCAAUUUGUUAAAACUUGGUAGGCAGACAAUCAUAUUAAAUAUGCAUAAAACUCAAUAAGUAAUUUGCGAAGAUUGAAACAAUCAAAGAAAAAAUUAAUUAAUUAACUAAGAAAUAGGAUACAUUGCUGUUUCAAGGAAACAGGGUUUAGUUCACAUUGAGUUGAGAAAACCAAAAGGGAGAUUCAAAAUGAACUUGUGAUAAGGGGAAUAAUGUCAAUGGAUCAUAUUCAAGUUGUUCAGCUCGAGAAAGAAAGAUUCAGAUUUAACUUGAAAAGAGUAAACCAAAAAGAUUUAGAAAAACAAAGAAAAUAACUAAAAUGAUAAAUUUAAGAAUAAAUAAUCAAUAUUAAAAAUAAUAAAGAAAUUAUAGAAUAAAUAGUGGAAGAUGGAAUGAAUAAACGAUGGAUAUGACAUAUAGAUGGAUAAGUGUCUUAUAAUUCAUGAAAAGAGUUAUAUUUCAUGCCUUUAGACCUAACUAAUUGCUUGUACUUACGUACAUUUUGUUGCAUUUUAAGACAUAUUAGUUAGCAUUUCUAAUAUUGCAUUAGGACUUAGAUUGUGCUGGAAUUAGCUGUUUUUAAUCGCUCGUGGUGGAGUUUUUUUUGUGUUUUGGUAUAGAAGGAACAUGUUUUAGAUCGAGGAAAUAAAUGAGUGAAGUUUUGUCAAGGCAAAACUGCAGAUAGUUUGCCAGCACGGAUGCCGUGACAAUGCCGGGAAGACCAAGUCAACAUUUUUUUGUGCAAUAGUCUCAGUUGAAAUUAAAACUUGUACCAGAUAAAUCUCCCUAAAAGAGGAAAAGAUAAUCACAAGACCCUAGCCUAAUCUAUCUAUAAAAGCCAAUAAAGGGGAUUCUCACAAAUGGCAGAAAAAAGUGGGAAGGAUCCUUAGGUGUGAAUAAGGGUUUAGCUGCGCAAAGGAAAGGAAGUCGAAGGCAGUCCUUUUUAGCCAUCACAGGACAUUGUGUUGCCGAAGUGUGGACUAGGCAAGUGAAAGUUGUUUACCAAAGUUCUUUUGUUAUUUCCAUCAGCGUUCCUUCAAAAUAUUGAAGUAGUUGAACACAAUGUUGGAUAAUAUUUUGCUUUGGAAUUUUAUUUCUCAUCCCACGAGCUAAAUCUCGUAGGGUUGGGAUUACUUUUGAUGAAACCUUAAACUAUUUUUAUGAAUGCAGUAUAUAUCUAAUUUACUUUACUGUUUCAUUUGAUUGUUCUUAUUUCUUAAUUAAAAUGCAAAUGAUCUCUAAACAUAGAAGACUGUUCACAUACUUAUAAAUUGAUUCUAAUUCUGAAAGGGUUGGAUUGGUUGGAUUAAAAUUAAAUGAAAUGAGCAAGUAUUCGAUGGACACUUGUAGUAGACUCUAGACAUAGAGUGGCGAUCAUACAGAAGGAACCCAUGCAAGGUAUCUAAAAAGUCUUUAGACACAAGCAAGGUAACUUGAGGGUUUGCUCUCACGAGAGGCAAGCCAUUUUAGUACUCUUCUGUGCUUUAAAGUAGAUACGAUUUUGCCAAGGCAUUAUUGACAGUAAGAGUCGAUUUUGGGUAAUCAACCUUCCAAAUCCACAUCGUAUAUCCUUUAUUCCUUACCAUAAUAUAUUUGCCACAUCAUUAUUAGUUAUUUAUUUGUUCAUUUACAUAAUAUUCCCGUAGUAAUUCUCAUAAUUGUCAUUACAUUUCUACUCUCGGUUUGCCACAACAUUACCAGUUAUUUAUUAAUUCCACGUAUUGCUUACAUCAUUACUCUACUAAUUGUGACUAUAUAUUUAUCAUUGAGUCUGCCAUAGCAUUAAUCAUAUUUUAUUAUAAUAACUUGAUCAAUUUUGUGCCUCAAUUCGAUCCCCAUGGGAAUGAUUCUCACUCAUCAGUUUAUUACUUGAUUCAACUGUAUACAUGCACAAAUCACAUAUCAUUUCACACACGACAGUGUUCAAUUGAACCCUUUGAGUUAUAAACUCGAACAAACUCAAUUAAUGGAUUUAAUCAACCCACCAAGAAAGAAUCAUUGGAAAAUUGAAGGAUGGAGAAUGAAUUCCCAUGACUCCUUAAAAAAAUUGAGAAGAAAACUACUUCUAAAAAUCACAAGAAACAAAUCUUGCACAAAGAAACUAACUCUCAGAGUUGGAAAUUUUAGUAAUAAACAAAAACAAUUGCGUCUCUAAUGAACAUGAAAGGGCCUUUACAUAGGCUAGAUAAGUACAUCCAAAUAAAAUUGUCAAGUAUCUAGAAACUUUAAUUAAUGUAAGCAAGAAGUAAUUUUAAACUAAAAUAGUCAUAAUUUUCGUAAUAAUCUCGUCCAAAAAUUUUGCUCACAUAGUCAUCAUUAAAAUAGUCAUAAUUUGAUCUUCUAAACUCAAAAUCGAGUGAAUAAAAGUGCGUUUCGAAGUUAAGUGAUAGAUCUUAGAACUCUAUGAGGACAUAUCAAUUGAAAAAUGCCUGGAUUCCAUCCAAAAAUUCACCGCAAGUUAACUAAUUUUUCAAACUUGAAAAUUGGUAGCUUCGGUGAAUGGAAUUUAAUAAAGUUCACCCCAUCUAUUCAUGUAUCAACUUGCAUUGUAAAAAGUAAAAAGAAAUAAUCUAUAGAGAAAAUAGUUGAAGAAUUUAUGACAAUUUAUUCAGAUCUCGUUUUCUUCUAGUCUUUACAAGCUUGAAGUUUCCCUUGGUGUGAGAGAGUUGUUCCUUACCCUCUAAGUGAUUUUUUUUCUUUUUCUUUCUCUUCGAUCUCGUCACCUAAGGGUGUUCAAACGAUUGAUUCAGUUAAUACCCGAACAAAACUAUCAUUAACUAAAAUUUUGAAACCCUUAAUCAUUAAUCAAACCAAAAUUUAUUUGAAACCUAUUAACCAGCCAGAUUGAUUUCGAUUAAUUUGAGCGGUUAACCAGAAUUUAUACACUGUUUGAUUUUGUUCAAACAAUUUUAAAACAAAGAAUAAUCCACAACAAUUUUUUCCGUAUUUUUUAUUCAAAAAAAUUAAAAGAAUUAAAAAAAAUAACAUAAUAACAACACUAAAUUAAAAACGUAAUAGCAUUCAUUACAUUACAAAGCAUAUAUAUAUAUUUACUUUUUCUUGAAUUUUUAGUUUAAUUUUAGUUUUUAUUCAAAUAUUUUUAGUUUUCAUAAUUUUGUUAAGCUUAUUAUAAGAGAACUUAUAAAUCCAUUAGUUUUUAUAUAUUGGGUUUGUAUAAUGUAUUUGACCUGUCUCUAAUAUAUUGGGCCUAUAAUAUAUUUUUAUUGAUUUCGGUUAAUCAAUUAAUUCGGUUAAUUAGUCGAUUUCAAACUAAACUAAUUGGUAAACAAAAUCUUCAAAAACCUUUAACCAACUCCCAACCAAAUUAGAUUCGUUGAUCAACUGCUUAAUCAAAUUAAUUAGGUUUGAUAAAUUAAUUCGUUAAAACCGAAAAAUUGACAUCCCUAUCACCACCUUUGUUUUUAGGGAUUUUAAUCAUGUUACUCCACUUGAUGCAGAAGUUGAGGUGGAACGAAUUGCUUGCUACCAAAAUUUAUGAAUUAUAGACCAUGCUCCACCCGGUGAAUCAAAUUCAGUGGAGUGGAAGACUUUUUCUUCACUACUUUGUGCUCUAUGCUCCAAGUCUUCUAUUCUUCUUCCGAGACCAACAAUGGGAAAAUUAAAAAUAAGAAACAAGUCUGAACUAACUUUGACAAUUAGAAAUUUUCAACAAAAUUGAAAUAAAAUAUAAUUAAUUAAUAAAAACUAUAAAAUUCAACAAAAACGAACCUAAAUACUAAAUUUACCUCCUAAAAUGCUAUGGAAACUAUAUUAAAAUAACUCUAAAUAUGAUAGUUAUCAAAAGCGACCUGAAGAAGCCAAUAUUCGAGUAGAUGAUUUCAACUAUUGCAAAUACCAUCAGUCGAUUAGCCAUCCUCUUGAGAAGAUUAUAGAGUUGAACGAAAAAAAUCAUACAACUCCAUGAAGAAGAAAAAAUCAUGUUUGAAAAAGAAGUGGCAUAAUCAAACUUGACAUCAAUGCUUUGGUUUCUCAAUACAAUAUUAUGGACAGAUUCAUCAAAUUUGGCUCUUUCAAUCCUAUUACACUAGCUCUAAGUAGAAGUAAGAUGGUGAAUUUCGAAAGGAUUGGGGGCAAUCAUCUAUUCUUGGAAUACCAGAAUGGUCAUUAUUGGACUCUAGCCACAUGUCAAAGAAGCCAAUGAAAAGCAUCUCUCCUAGGUAUAAGCUUAUAUUGUCACAUUACUCCUAAGCACGAGCAUAAAUUAGUCAUCCAAAAUGAUGAUGCUUCUAAGCAUGAGCUUAAAUUGUUCAUCUAAUGCUCCUAAGAAGGAGCCUAAACUAUUCAACCCAAAUGGUCAUGCUUUAAGAAAAAUCUUAAACUAUUUUUAAGGCCUUAUAGUUCGGAUUAAGGCCCGUAAGUGUAUGUUUGUUAUAAUUAAGUUGUGUUAUUGAAUGUUAUUAAUUCAAUCACAUGAAUAUUUUGUUGUAAGUUAAAUGUUUUAAUUUGUACUAUAAUGCUCCAUAACCCUAAUCUGGCAAUGGAAACAGGUUUGGCGUGUUACAAUUUUGGGUUCUUGCGAUGUUGGUUGGAUUUUCGUGUUUUAACAUUAAACUGCAAAAUUGUAUGAUUUAACAAACUAAAAUUAGGUUUUCAAAGUUAAAACUCUGGAAAUUUUUGUUGCAAAGUAUAAGUAAUCACUUAAGUGUUUUUCCAUAUAUAAUUAAAUGGUUUUUAACAAAUGUUUUCCUUAGUUUUGGAAAUGAUCUGCCACCAUUAGUACUUUUAAAACACAUGAUUUCAAAUUCAAAUUCUUUGUUUUAAAUAAGGGUUUUCACACUUCGUUUUUUUUUAACAUUUGUGAGAGGUUUUCGCCAAAUUUUAUGUUUUCAGAACGUGUAACUAAGUUGAUUUUUAAUUCGUUUUUCAAAUGAGUCGAUGUAAUUCCUCAAAAAUCCAGUCAUAGCAUCUAGGCCGGGUUUGGAUGUUAUACUGAUAUUACUAAAGUUAAUCUUCAUCUAUUUAGUCUAGAUCUAAACAUUAAUAUUCUCUUCCAAGAAAAAUCAAGAUGAUCAAAUUGUUAAAACUUGGUAGGCAGACAAUCAUAUUAAAUAUGCAUAAAACUUAAUAAAUAAUUAGCGAAGAUUGAAACAAUCAAAGAAAAAAUAAAUUAAUUAACUAAGAAAUAGGAUCCAUUAUUGUUUCAAGAAAAUAGAGUUUAGUUCACAUUGAGUUGAGAAAACCAAAAGGGAGAUUCAAAAAAAACUUGUGAUAAGGGGAAUAAUGUCAAUAGAUCAUAUUCAAGUUGUUCGGCUCGAGAAAGAAAGAUUCAGAUCUAACUUGAAAAGAAGAAACUAAAAAUAUUUAGAAAAACAAGAAAAAACAAAGAAAAUAACUAAAAUGAUAAAUUUAAGAAUAAAUAAUCAAUAUUAAAAAUAAUAAAGAAAUAAAGAAAUUAUAGAAUAAAUAGUGGAAGAUGGAAUGAAUAAAUGAUGGAUAUGACAUAUAGAUGGAUAAGUGUCUUAUAAUUCAUGAAAAGAGUUAUAUUUCAUGCCUUUAGAUCUAACUAACUGCUUGUACUUAAGUACAUUUUGUUGCAUUUUAAGACAUUUUAGUUAGUGUUUCUAAUAUUGCAUUAGGACUUAGAUUGUGUUGGAAUUAGGUGUUUUUAAUCGCUCGUGGUGGAGUUUUUCUGUGUGUUGGCAUGGCAAGAACAUAUUUUAGAAUGAGGAAAUAAAUGAGUGAAGUUUUGUUAGGGAAAAAGUGCAGACAAUUUGCCAACACGGAUGCCGUGACAAUGCUGGGAAGACCAAGUAACAUUUUUUUGCGCAAUAGUCUCAGUUGAAAUUAAAACUUGUACCAGAUAAAUCUCCCUAAAAGAGGAGAAGAUAAUCACAAGAUGUCAGCUGACCCUAGCCUAAUCUAUCUAUAAAAGCCAAUAAAGGGGAUCUCACAAUUGGCAGAAAAAAGUGGGAGAGAUCCUUAGGUGUGAAUAAGGUUUUAGCUGCGCAAAGGAAAGGAAGUCAAAGGCAGUCCUUUUUAGCCAUCAUAGGACGUUGUGCUGCCGAAGUGUGGACUAGCCAAGUGAAAGUUGUUUCCGAAAGUUCUUUUUUUAUUUCCAUCAGCGUUCCUUCAAAAUAUUGAAGUAGUUGAACACAAUGUCGGAUAAUAUUUUUCUUUGGAAUUUUAUUUCUCAGCCCAUGAGCUAAAUCUCGUAGGGUUAAGGUUACUUUUGAUGAAACCUUAAAUAUUUUUAUGGAUGCAGCAUAUAUCCAAUUUACUAAACUGUAUCAUUUGAUUGUUCUUAUUUCUUAAGUAAAAUGCAAAUGAUCUCUAAACAUAGAAGACUGUUCGCAUACUUAUAAACUGAUUCUAAUUCUAAAACGGUUAGAUUGGUUGGAUUAAAAUUAAAUGAAAUGAGCAAGUAUUCGAUGGACACUUGUAGUAGACUCUAUACAUAGAGUGACGAUCAUACAGAAGGAACCCAUGCAAGGUAUCUAAAAAGUCUUUAGACACAGGCAAGGUAACUUGAGGUUUUGCUCUCACGAGAGGCAGGCCAUUUUAGUACUCUUCUGUGCUUUAAAGUAGAUAAGAUUUUGCCAAGGAAUUAUUGAGAGUAAGGGUCGAUUUUGGAUAAUCAACCUUCCAAAUCCACAUCGUAUAUCCUUUAUUCCUUACCAUAGAAUAUUUGCCACAUCAUUAUUAGUUAUUUAUUUGUUCAUUUACAUAAUAUUCCCGUAGUAAUUCUCAUAAUUGUCAUUACAUUUCUACUCUUGGUUUGCCACAACAUUACUAGUUAUUUAUUAAUUCCACGUAUUGCUUACAUCAUUACUCUACUAAUUGCGACUGUAUAUUUAUCAUUGAGUUUGCCAUAGCAUUAAUCGUAUUUUAUUAUAAUAUCUUAACUAAUUUUGUGCCUCAAUCUGAUCCCCAUGGGAACGAUACUCACUCAUCACUUUAUUACUAGAUUCAACUGUAUACUUGCACAAAUCGUAUAUCAUUUCACACACGACAAUGUUCAAUUGAACCUUUUGAGUUAUAAACUCGAACAAACUCAAUUAUUAGCUUUAAUCAACCCACCAAGAAAGAAUCAUUGGCAAAUUGAAGGAUGAAGAAUGAAUUCCCAUGAAUCCUUAAAGAAAUUGAGAAGAAAACUACUUCUAAAAAUCACAAGAAACAAAUCUUGCACAAAGAAACUAACUCUCAGAGUUGGAAAUUUUAGUAAUAAACAAAAACAAUUGCGUCUCUGAUGAACAUGAAAGGGCCUUUACAUAGGCUAGAUAAGUCCAUCCAAAUAAAAUUGUCAAGUAUCUAGAAACUUUAAUUAAUGUAAGCAAGAAGUAAUUUUAAACUAAAAUAGUCAAAAUUUUUGUAAUGAUCUCGUCCAAAAAUUCUGCUCACAUAGUCAUCAUGAAAAUAGUCAUAAUUUGAUCUCUUGAACUCAAAAUCGAGUGAAUAAAAGUGCGUUUCAAAGUUAAGUGAUAGAUCUUAGAACUCUAUGAGACAUAUCAAUUGAAAAAUGUCUGGAUUCCAUCCAAAAAUUCACUGGAAGUUAACUAAUUUUUCAAACUUGAAAAUUGGUAGCUUCAGUGAAUGGAAUUUAAUAAAGUUCACCCCAUCUAUUCAUGUAUCAACUUGCAUUGUAAAAAGUAAAAAGAAAUAAUCUAUAGAGAAAAUAGUUGAAGAAUUUAUGACAAUUUAUUCAGAUCUCUUUUUCUUCUAGUAAUAUAUUGGGCCUAUAAUAUAUUUUUAUUGAUUUCGGUUAAUAAAUUAAUUCGGUUAAUUAGUCGAUUUCAAACUAAACUAAUUGUUAAACAAAAUCUUCAAAAACCUUUAACAAACUCCCAACCAAAUUAGAUUCGUUGAUCGACUGCUUAAUCAAAUUAAUUAGGUUUGAUAACUUAAUUCGUUAAAACCGAAAAAUGCACAUCCCUAUCAUCACCUUUGUUUUUAGGGAUUUUAAUCAUGUUGCUCCACCUGAUGCAGAAGUUGAGGUGGAACGAACUACUUGCUACCAAAAUUUAUGAAUUAUAGAGCUUGCUCCACCGCAGUGAAUCAAAUUCGGUGGAGUGGGAGACUUUUCUUCACUACUUUAUGCUCUAUGCUCCAAGUCUUCUAUUCUUCUUCCGAGACCUACAAUGGAAAAAUAAAAAAAUAAGAAACAAGUCUGAACUUACUUUGAAAAUUAGAAAUUUUCUACAAAAUUGAAAUAAAAUAUAAUUAAUCAAUAAAAACUAUAAAAUGCAAUAAAAACGAACCUAAAUACUAAAAUUACCUCCUAAAAUGCUAUGGAAACUAUACUAAAAUAACUCUAAAUAUGAUAGUUAUCAGAAGCGACCUGAAGAAGCCAAUCGAGUAGAUGAUUUCAACUAUUGCAAUAAUAUUGGUCGAUUAGCCAUCCUCUUGAGAAGAUCAUAGAGUUGAAAGAAAAAAAUCAUACAACUCCAUGAAGAAGAAAAAAUCAUGUUUGAAAAAGAAGUGGCAUUAUCAAACUUGACAUCAAUGCUUUGGUUUCUCAAUACAAUAUUAUGGACAGAUUCAUCAAAUUUGGCUCUUUCAAUCCUAUUACACUAGCUCUAAGUAGAAGUAAGAUGGUGAAUUUCAAAAGGAUUGGGGGCAAUCAUCUAUUUUUGGAAUAUCAGAAUGGUCAUGAUUGGACUCUAGCCACAUGUCUUCGGAACAUCAGAAUGGUCAUGAUUGGACUCUAGCCACAUGUCAAAGAAGCCAAUGAGAAGCAUCUCUCCUAGGUAUAAGCUUAUAUUGCCACAUUACUCCUAAGCACAAGCAUAAAUUGUUCAUCCAAAAUGAUGAUGCUUCUAAGCAUGAGCUUAAACUGUUCAUCUAAUGCUCCUAAGAAGGAGCCUAAACUAUUCAACCCAAAUGGUCAUGCUUUAAGCAAAUAUUAAACUAUUCUUAAAAAAUAAAUGAUGAUCCAAUGAAGCACAAGCUUAAUCUAUUCAUACGAAACAAAUGAUGACCUCCUAAGCAUGAAUUUAAA
rnacentral:lncRNA from 1 species